rnacentral:lncRNA from 1 species
CUUCACUAGGUGAGUGUAUAAACUAACUUACCACACUAACUGCAUAAGCAAUGUCAGGACGAGUGUGAGACAAAUAAAUUAAUCUCCCUAUAAGCCUCUGAUACCGUUCCUUAUGAGUAGGAACUUGAUCUGGAAAUAAGCCCAGACAAUGAUUCUGCUAAAUCGGAGUAUCAACAUGUUUGCAAUCUAACAUACCUGUUUUAGCUAACAAAUCAAGAACAUACUUCCGUUGAGACAGAAAAAUGCCAUGCUUGGAUCGUGCAACCUCAAUUCCAAGAAAAUAUUUCAAUUCACCUAAUUCUUUCAUCUCAAAUUCAGUAGCUAGGUACUUUUGAAGGCAUUGUAUCUCCUUCUGAUCAUCACCAGUCACUAUCAUGUCAUCAACAUAAAUAAUCAAUGCAGUUAGCGUACCAUUUUGUCUCUUUAGAAACAAAGUAUGAUCUGAAUGACUCUGGAUAUACCCAAACUUCUUCAUUGAACUUGUAAACCUCUCAAACCACGCUCUAGGAGAUUGUUUCAAACUAUACAAGGCCUUUCGUAACCUGCAUACAACACCUUUUCCAGGAGAUGUUCCAAUACUAGGUGGAAGAUCCAUAUAAACUUCCUUCUUAAGAUCACCAUGAAGGAAAGCAUUCUUAACAUUAAACUGCAACAGAGGCCAAUCCUGGUUUGCUGCUAAGGACAGAAAAACACGCACAAUAUUAAGUUUGGCAACAGGAGCAAAAGUCUCCUGAUAGUCCACCCCAUAGGUUUGAGUAUAACCCUUAGCAACUAAUCUGGCUUUAUACUGGUCAAUAGAACUAUCUGUUUUGUGUUUAAUAGUAAACACUCAUCUACAUCCAACGGCUUUCUUCCCGUUUGGUAAAGGAACCAAAUCUCAAGCAGAAUUCUUUUCCAAAGCUUCCAUCUUAACUUUCAUGGCAUUAACCCACUUAGGGUCAGACAAAGCAUCUUGCAAUUUUGUUGGAAUUGAUACACUAGAUAGCUGACAUAUGUAAGAUGCAUAUGGUUUGGACAAACGAUGAGUAGACACAUAAUUGUUGAUAAGAUAUUUGGCUUUGGCAUGCAUAUCAAGCUCAUAUUGUACUUUAGGUGUUCCACGAUUAGCUCGUGGGGGCAACUGAUAACUAGAAGAAUCGUCAGAAUUUACCUCAUGUAUGCCACCAUCUUGUACCAAAUUGUUAGAAGAAUCAUCAUUGGACGAACCAUCAUCAGGCAACUCGUUAGACAUAUCAUCAGCAGGCAAUCGAUCAUCAAAAGGUAAUUUGUCAGACAUACUAAUAGGCAAUUCGCUGAGCACAUCUGAUCUGUCGUCAGUAGAAAUAGUUCCUGGAAUGAUAGGUGACUGAUCACUAUCUGUAGCCGAUUGAUCAGUAUCACGCAACAUAAUAGGUUAUGUUCCCAACUCUGCCUGUAACACAUCAUUUAUACCAUCUCUUCGAAUAUGCACUUCACUCCCCCUCUCCCCCUGAAGUGGAGAGUCGGAAGAAGGCUUCACAAAAUACGAAACUUCCUCACCCCAAAAUUAUACCAAUUCUCAUUCUUGGUAAACAACAUGCAUGUGCUUUAAUUAGAUACCCAUAACACGAAAAACUAGCAAAUCACUAAGGAAAACCAUAGUCAAUUUUAAAAAUGGAACUUUAAAACGAAAAACUCCUGGUACUGUUUACUUUAAUGAAAAACCACAAUUUUAGAUUAAAAAAUCAAUCAUGGUACUAUGUAAUUUACUCUUUAUUUUGUCUUUAUCGUUAAAACUCAAAGUUUUCAAGUCCUUUUCAUUAGUUUUCAUUUUUAAAUAUAAAUUUUGAAAACCCACUCGAGCAGUGGCGAAGUCACAUAGAGGUCAGGUGAGGCCUAGGCCCAUCCUGGAAUAUGCUGGUAACCUAUACCUAGUUAUUAUGUUUUGCUCUCUUUGUUUUAUUCACAUGAGGGACAACAUACCUUGAUAUCAUGAAGAAAAUUAGGGUUCGCCAUAAAAUUAAUGUGCAGUAUAGUAGCCCAAUUUUAUUACUUUUACAUGCAAGGUCCCUUAUUUUUUCGAAUACUCUCAACACAUGUAACAUGGAAUUCAUCAAUUAAAAUUCCCUUAAUUUAGAGGGUCAAUACGUCCACGUUGUCUAUUGCAACUACUAAAGCAUCUGCUCCAGGAGUAAAGGUUAGACAUAUCAACUUUCAUAACAUUUUCUGCAUAGGAAAAAAUGAAAUCAAUUAGAAUCAUUUCUAAGCAAAGAGCUUUGGACUCGACGUUACAUUUUGUGCUCGUGAAAUUAAUAAUGAGAAUAAGACAAUGGUAACCUUGCAUUAACCGCCUAUUCUAUAUAACAUGAAUGGCCAUUUUAGCAAAUUCAUAGUCUCUUUAGACUCUAAGUUCUACCAUGGUCUCCGGAGAGUCUGAAUAUGGUCCUGGACUUUUUCUCAUCAUUCCGCUUGUGGUGAUCAUAGCCAUCUGGUGGUGUUGCAGUUGCUGCUUCGAGAAUAUUCCCCAUGAAGAACCGACACAACGACAAUUGGAAGAUGAUGAAAUGCAAAAGACCACAGCAGCAAGCGGUACAAGGACUACUACCGCUUCACCGGUAAUCCAGAAGUAUGAAAAGGGUGUUAGCCUGGUAGGAGAUGGUACGUGUCCUGUGUGCAUAGAAAAAUUUAAAGAAGGUGAAUAUUUUCGUACCUUGCCGGAGUGCAAGCACUCGUUUCACGCUGCAUGCAUUGACAUGUGGCUCUAUUCUCAUCCGAAUUGCCCAGUUUGCCGCGCCACUGCUACACAGUUCACGGUUGUUGUUCAGCGGUAGUAGGGCUUCUGAUCUGAGCUCGAUACUCGAUAGUGCCACGGAAGAGUAAACAAAAUUUUGCACAAAAAAGACGUUGCGUUGUUUUGUAAUUGCAGCCGGGGUAGGAGUAAUUUUUUAUGCUUGUGCCGAGGAAGGUAUAUAUAAUCCGUACCUAGAAGCUUGAAGACUCAUGAUAUUCUCCAUGAGAGUGAUUAUUAUUGGGUGUAUUUCGUACUUGUUCAUCGGAAACUGAUGUCUUAGACAUCAAACGAAGGCCUUGUUGGAAUGAUUUGAGAAAUGUAUUUUCAUUAACAAUGCUUUGGUUUGAGAGCUUUCAUCUUUCACCCAAUCUUGCGACACUAGAUACAUAUAUUGGUUUAAUAUAUUCUAUGGAUCCUCAACUUCUCUUUUGGUUUACAUAUGGGAUUAUUAUUUUGAAGUUUCAAAUGUUUGUAUGCAAGUCCGCUUCCUUUGUAGAAACAGACACAUAUCCAUACACAAUUGAGAAAAUCAAUUACUAAAAAUUGUAAACUUCAGGCGCAAUUAAGGCAGUAUAAAUAUAUAUGAUAGAUCAAGCGAAAACUUCACUCAAACCAUAAGGUUGGUUAACAUCUACUAUUAGUCAAAGGUGGCACUGAGGGGAGUGAAAGGUGCAAUCGCAUAGGACCUCCAAAUUUGAAGGGCCCCUAAAAAUUUUUGGUAUCUUAUAUUUAUAUGUAAUAAUGUUAUAUAUUAAAAAAUGCUUUUAUUAGCACUUUUAUAAGUAUAAUUUUUUUUCUUUCUAAAUAUAAAAAUUUGAAAUGCACAAUGAGAUAUUAGGAGUGUUAAUAACAACACAUUAAAAAUGAUUUUCUUUUCAAUUUUAUUAAUUAUAUAAUAAUGCUAUAUAUUCAAGUGAAACUCUAAAGUUAGAGUUUUUGAAGUUUUUUUUUCUUUAUUUGGUUGCUUAAGAUUGAACUGUUUUUUAUUAUUUAGUGAAGAUUAUGUUUAUAACUCUUUUUACUUAUUUAAUGACACUUGUAAACUUACAAUCAGUGAGUCUUAAAGGUUGUUUUGAUUUAAGUUAUUAUUUUCUAGUACCAAUAUAUUGUCAUACUUUAAAAAAUAUAUAUCUUAAAAGGGGGCCAUUUUAUAAAUUUCGCACAGGGCCACCGAAAUAUCAGAGACGGCCCUGAGUCUAUUACAACCUAUAUAUGUAGUAUCUGGUCAAGGGAAAAAUGUUUGGUAAUGCCUUAAAUUAAGAUUAUUCUACGAGUAUGAUUUUUGAACACACAUUUUUUCGUUCUAGACAUUCUAUAUAUUAUGUCUCUUGAUUCUCCUUUCGCAGACUUUGUUUAUUAUGUCUCUGCAAAUAAGAACUGUUAAGACUCUUGUAUGGACAAUCACGUCUUCAAUACGAGACAAUGGUAGUUGAACCGUAAUUAAUUCCUAAGAGUACCUUGACCACUUAUAGUACACAAAAUCUUUCAUUAGGUGGUCCAUAAUCAGUGGCUGAAACAAGAUAAGCAGUAUUUAUGUAUAUCUUAGGGAAAAUGCCAGGAAGAUUAUGGUUUUAAUUAUACUGGAUUUUGUAGAUCAUAUGAUGUGGCAGUUGAUGAUUUCUUGCAACAUAGAUCCAUCAACAGCCAUGUUACGUAAUUUAAAAAAUAUACUUCAAAUAGAUAAUCUCGUUAACAUUGUCCAUAUCUUAUUAGUCACCGUAUGAUCAUUUGUGGAUUCUGGUGUGUCAUUAUAAGAGCCUUGCAUGGCUAUCACGUAAGUAGGAGAUGGUUUAAUGCAUAAGAAGUCCAUUUUGCUUUAUCACAUUUGUGCUACAACUGAACCAAAUAACCCAAUAAAUUAAUUGUGCUAGCUACGGCUGCCUCCAUUAACAUUACUUUCACGACAUUGGUACACUAAUUUUAUUUCAAGUUUAAUUCGUUAAGAACAUUUACCUUUACACAUGAUGUCCGAGUUCUCACAAUGUUAUUGGUAUAAAACUAAAAAAUACUUAUAUAAAUAAGUUAGGAAAAAAUUUAGGACCAACAAUUUUUUGUGCUCCAAAAAGGCCGCUUAGUGUUCCAAAAUAAAAAAAGAGGUCGACUCAGAGCUUCAGCCCUUUCCAUCUUCUCAUUUGUCUGUGAAGGCACAUAAGACAAGUGCAAACCUUGAUAUAAUCGCCUUUUCUACAUAUAAUUUCAAUGUCCAUUUAAAUUCCUUGGCAUUUCAGCCGACUUUCCACCAUGGCUGAAAGCCAUAACCUUGUCUCUGAUCCCAGAUUAUACAUUCUUCUAGUUGCUCUGAGCUCGGCUGUGCUUGUUGUCACACUCUACCAUUGCGCAGUCAUUUGUUGCUGCAACCGCAACCCCCAACCACGACAAACACGACGCCGUUUGAGGCCCGAAACCACGGGGCUCACAGAUGGCAGCAUGGGGCCUUCAUCGGCAUCCGAACUCAUUCCGUCCAGGAAGUAUCAAAGGGACGUUGGCUUGGUCUUGGUGGGAGACGGUAUGUGUGCUGUGUGCAUAAGUGAUUUUGAAGAAGGUGAAGAGUUUCGUACCUUGCCGGAAUGCAUGCACUCAUUUCACGUUUCAUGCAUUGACAUGUGGCUGUUUUCUCAUUCAAGUUGCCCGAUUUGCCGUGCCGACGCCACACUCUCAUCCCUCGUAGUUCGGUGUUUGCCUGAUUUAGAGUCCGGUAACGUAGAGAGCCGAUAAAUUUUAGUAAAAUUAUUUGAGCACAGUGUAUAGUCAAAUAAAAACAAAAUAUAAGAUAUGGUGGUUGUGACACCACAAUCCAAGUUCUUCUGAGGCCUUAGCAGCCAAUAAUUUGUAAGGACAUUGUAGUUAUGCAAUCUAACUAUUGGAUAUGAUGGUGAGGAUUGUCUUCCAAUUAUUAAUGUAUUUACCUUGUGAUUGGGGCCAUGAAAAGGGGUUAUUGGGCUUUGUUUUGGGCUUCAUAGGUUGCCACAAAAACAAAUGGGCCUGUAAUUUGGAGAUCCAACCCAAAACAAAAAGUACAGUUGAAAGCCAGUCCCGGUAAAAUUCCAACUUCUCUAGGGUGCCAUAUAUUUAUGAGUAUUUUUACCUCCAUUAAAUACUGAAAAUCAUGUGUCUACUUGUGAAAAUAAAUAAAUAAAUAAAUAAACUACUGACAAUAAUGGUUGGUAACAUGCAUAGUUAGAGAAAUGCCAAUGUGACUUUUUUCAAAAUUUCAAAACUAGAACUCUCCAAUUUUUAUAGAUUUUCUGCUAUUUUAUGUUUUUAACAUAAUAUUUUAUGAUGUUGACAGAAAAAUUGACGUUAAACUUUAAGGUGGCAAAAAGUUAUACUUUUUGCUAUCUUAUGUUUUUAGCACAAUAUUUUAUAAUGUUGAUAGAAAAAUUAGCGCUAUGAGGUGACAAAAAGCUAUAAAAAAUCUAACUUUAAGGGAGUUUCCUUAACAUUUCUCUUUAUUUUACCUCGGUCCUUAGGUCCCAACUUUCAAAAAAAUAUUAUUGAUUGAUUGAUUGAUUUAGUUUUUACAUUUGAGAUUUCGUUGAUAACCUAGGAUGGGUAUAUCAAUAGGUUCGGAUUAAAAGGUCAAUACAGAUUUGACACUGACCAUAUGCUUAGUUAAACCAAGCACCAUCAACUGAAAACAAAUUUAAAAUUUAUGAAAGAGACUACAAACUCGAACAACAAACUUAAAUCGAAUUGUUGCUUAUUAUUCUGAUUCAGCAUGACAAACCUCGGCAAGCAUUAUCUUAUUAUCUAAUGAUCAUCAGUUAAGAUACUGAAAGUAUUGAGUAUUUACUUAUUAUAUUAAAUAAAAUAAUUAUGAUUAGAACUCUAAAAAGAUCACAUGCUGUUUUUUUGUUUGUAAAUUACAAAUUAUAAAUAACAAGUGUGAACGACUGCAAAACAAGAUUUUUUUAGUGUCAGUAACAGUUGAAGAUAAAUACAAUAUAAUUUAGUUGAAUUAAAACUAUAUGUUAAUAUUGUUUGACGUAAGAACAAUUUACAUUACGUGAAACGAAAUUAAACAUUAUGUAAUAAUUUAAUAAUAUAAUGACACGAGGAUACUUCUUUUCCUACAACACAUGGAGUUGGACUUCGAGCAUAACUUAUUUGCUUAAUAAAAGGGAAAGGGAAUAUGCGUUUGCCAGAAGAUUAGCCUCUGCAAGCUCUGCUAAUCCCAGAACCGUCAACCAAGCUAUGAUUUAAUGACAAAAACGACGCAGUUUCCACCACUGGGACUUGGAGUCAAAGAGUCAAGAGUCAAAGAGCCAAAUCCCUCUACAAAUUCAAGGCGCAGAAAAGCAACUCAACUCCUUUUCCUGUGAGCUGAGUUGGGUGAAUGGAUUAGACAAAAGCCAAUUUAGCAUCUCAUCAAAAACGACCCGUCACUUUCCUUGUCUUUGUGUUCACAUGUGAACUUUCCCUCGAACAACGCCUCGCCUCUCCUCUCCUCUCCUCUCCUCUCACCCAUAUUUGCCUAUUUGCCGACUCUCUUACUCUGCAUUUUUGCAUGGCUUCCCUGUUUUUUGUUUGUUCAUUUCUUUGUUUUAGUCCUCUGCGAUUUGCCAAUUCUCUGUGAUUUCCACAUCCGGGUGGGCUUUUAGUAUUGGUGGGUUUCAAAAGCGCUUUUGUCAUCACGUUUCAUGAUUUAAAGGGUGAUUUUCUCAGAAGAUACAGCCUUUGAGAGAUAUUUUUAGCUGGUGGGCAUUUGGGUAUUUUCAUUUGCCCCUAAAGUAGCGAGCAAGUUAAGGAGUGUUUAGUUACUGAGUUCCCACUAUCUGGGUUUUUGGGUUUCUCCUGUGUUCAUGGAAAAGAUUGGAACUUUACAAAAUCUUCCCAGAAGAUUAACCUUUCCCUUCAGUUUCUUGGGCUUCUUGUGAAUUGGGUAAAAGGGUAAUGCCCAAAAUUAACUGUGGUUAGUUUGAGUUUUUUUUUUGGGUAGUUUUGAUGUGAAAUCAGUAGCUUUCUGAUGAGAUUUGAUGACAGAGAUGAAAUCUUUGAGCAGUGUGGGACUUGGGUUAAGUGUGGUUUUUGGCUGCCUUUUCUUAGCUCUGAUUGCAGAGCUUUACUAUUUACUGUGGUGGAAGAAGAGAUUUACCAGCAGAGAGAUUGACAGUGGCUACAGCAGCAGCCCACAGAAGGAAAUCUUCUACAUGUUCUGCUGGAGAAGAAGCACUUGCACUCCCUCCCGAAACCCCACAGGUAUCUGUGCUUCAUUGAGAAUGUCAGAAACCCUAGUCCAUGAACCAAGCAGCAACAAUCUGGUGCUCAAAUCAUUUGAGGAGGAAGAUUUGGAUGCUGAGCUCAUGAGGCUGCAGAAUGCUGGUGGGGGCCCACCAAGGCACCUGUUCACAAUUGUGGAGGAAACAAAGGAGGAUUUGGAGCAACAGUCAGAGGAUGGUGGGUGGAGGAGCCAGAAGGGUUCUAGGAGUAAGAGUCUGAGUGAUUUGCUUGUGGGAUUUGAGACUCCAUAUCUGACACCUCUUGGUUCUCCAACACUUUUCACACCUCCUCUCACUCCCCAGCAGGGUUUCAGCCCACUCUUUGAGUCAAAAUCUGAUGCAGAAUUCAACAGAUUGAGGUCCUCUCCUCCUCCAAAAUUCAAGUUCUUGCAGGUUGCUGAGGAGAAACUUAGAGUAAAAUUGCAGGAAAAAGUUCAGAAUAUUGAUGGAAAUGCUGAGGAAGAUGGUUCUUUCAUCACAAUCAUUGUUGACAAGAACAAAGAAAAGUGCCAUUCGUCAAGCACUUCACAGGUUCUUCCGUUAGUUUCUUCACCUUCAGGAUUCAGAUCAACAAUUGGGAAGAAACCCAAUUUACAUUAGAGUUCGAUGAACCAAAAUUUUUGCUUUUUUUUAAAAAAAAAUUAUUAUUUGUGGGUAAGUUUGUUAAAUUUGAUUAGUAAUAGAGGUUCAUGUGGAAUGUAAUGAGUUCUAGUGGGGUGGGGGGGGGGGAAUAUAUUCAGGAACAUGAUGGUGUGAGAUGGGUUUUCCUGUUAGUGGGGGACCCCGUGACUGUGAAGUUGCUUUGUUUUAUUUAGCCUUCAUGUUCCCCUGAGUUGUCUCGUACCUGUAAUCUUCUUGUGAGUGUGAUGAUGCUGCUACACAACUGAUGUUCUUGUCCUCUCUCUCUCUCUCUCUCUCUCUCUCAUAGAAACUCACACUAAGUCACUGUAUUGGUAUUUCAAACCACCAAACAUUAUGCAUCGCGUGAUUGCAAAUACCAUCACAAUAUAGAGAGGGACUUGGCAAUGAUACCACCACAAUGGAGAAAAACUUACUUGCACCUCUAGGGUACUAUUUUGGUCUUAUGAACCAAUAUUACAAUGAAUAUGCGAGAACUAAAACACAUGAUAUUAUUUUUUUGCCCAAAACACUGCAAUAACACUUUGAAGAGCACAGACAAGUCCUUUCUUAUUACAGUAACAUCCCGUUUCAUGAAAGUCAUUAUCUCCUCGUAAACAAUCAUUGUUGCCAUGCCAUUGUUCUCCGGCAUGUUUAUGCCACUUGUUUUGGUAAAAUCUCAAUAUCUAGGUGCAAUUCAAUAUCUUACUACAAGUGACUUAGUGACAUGACAUUAAGAAAGCAUGAACCACCUGCAUUACAAGACAAAGUAGGAAAAGGGAAAGGGAAGAGUUUAGGUGAUGCCUUUGGCCUUUGGGCAUUUUCCCAAACAACAUAGAGGAGCAAAUUGCCCCGUGAAAGUGGUUUAUGGGAAUUUGCCGAAAGGUGCAACUAUCCAUCCACCUCCACCUUGAAGAAUCAUGUAGGCUCUUACUUUUUUACUAUCCCUUUGUAAUCUUCUGUUCUGACAGUGACAGAUUCGUGGCUCAAAUCAUGACCUUCAAUGUAUAUUAAGAAAACAAUCCGUAUGUUCUUUUUGUUACAUGUUUACUUACAAAGAAUUAAGAGGUUUUCGUUCUUGAGUUUCGUGCGUUUCCUAAAAUACAAGUUGAAAAAUUACUUCACUUCUAAACUUUUCUUUAUAAACACUAACAUAUAAAAAUCGAAAAAGCAUGAAUUUCAUCUUACUUUUUCUAUUUCGAAGUCGUCUAAUUCGUUCAUUCUCUCAUUUCCAUUAGUAAACAUACUCUAUAGAGAAUCAAAUCUUAGACCAAUCAUAAUCUCAAUUCAUUGCUACAAUCUUUAUCUCCCCACACUGCGUGCGCUUACUUUAAUUUACCUUAGACUUUGGUUUUAAAUUUAUUCUUACUUUUCAUACAUAACUUUCACCUUAUAGUUUCGUCACCUUUUGGAUGUCAGCCGACAUGCCUCAAUUUUUGAGAUCCACGUGGAUAACCAAUUUGGGGUCCGUCAAUUUGGUAUCAAAGCCCAAAAGUUGUAACCAAUUUUAUAUUUUAUUGUGUCUAUCUCUCCGUCAUCACCCUUCUAUGAUUUUAACUUUCUUUAUAUAGGAAAAUCUUUUACUCUUAUUUUUUCUCAUGUACUAAUCUAUUUUUCUUUGGUAUUCAAAUAAAAUAAAUCAAAGAAGAAUCGAGAGAAAAGGAGUGAAUUUUGAUUUCACAACUUUACUGUUCAACCAUAAUGAUCAUAAAGACUCUGUACAAAUUUGAAACAUGAGCACUUGAUGGAAACUUAAAAACGUGUGAUGAUGAUUGAUGGAAAUGCUAUCACAUGCUAAAUAUCAAGUCACUUCCAAAAAAUAUUUACCGCCCACUGCAUGUGGCCAAGUAAUUUACCUCUACUUCUAUAUAACUUGCAGUAAAAGGAAGGGGUAAAUUUUAUUUUUAUUUAUGAAGAACACGAUUGAAUACAUGGAAAAGCACCAAAAAAUAAACUAGAAAGCCAACGUAUAUGAAGAAAUAUCAGGUCAGAUUCCAAUGGCAGCAAUAGCAGACAUUCCCAGCUCAACACAGAGUGGUUUCAGGCCGGGUUCUUCCAAGAGGCUGAAUGCGGUAAACCCGUAAUAGGAGUGAUAUAGAUCUGGAAAGUCCCCCGGGAACUUGCUGAAACCACCGUACUGGUGAAAACACAAAUACGAACAUCAAAGUCGGGAGUCAUAAGCAAUACUAUCAGCUUAGAAAAAGGUUUGAGACAGAAAUUGGGGUACUUCCAUAAUAUCAUACGAGUAGCCUAAUUACGACAUUCCUCAUGUUUACAAAAGAUACUGUUGCCAAAAAAAUCAAGCACACAAAACAAUUUAUACCGUCUGCAUUGUAUUGGUCUGUUAUUUUUCGUAAGAACAGGAACUUAUAUCCAUUUGUGUUUCUAGUUUCUAUCAUCAUCGCCUUAGGAUCUUUCUAUGUUUAUGGAGGUUAAUCCAAUAAAUUUGUAAAUGUGUAUGCAUGACCGAAGUAAUAACAGAUUUUCCAUGACAAAUCUGAAAGAAACUUUACAUUCUCCCCUAUCGUAUCAUAGGUUAGUAUGAGGAAAGAUAAGCAAAAGCACCUCGGAUUGACAAGUUAGCAAAAAUCCAUGUAGAGCCUUCUUGUCAAUGAAUUUGUGGCCCCCUAAAACCUUCAAAACUGAUCCAAUCCUGCACAAGCAAAUUUCUGUUGUCAGGGUACGAAAUUCCAAACACGGCAUGAAACUCCCAAAGGAUGUUCAUCCACCUACCAAAAGGCAUAACAUGUAUCACUAGGCUUGUUGGGUCUACCCUGAAAUCCACCAUCAGCUGCCUGUCUCUGCAGUGGUACAAAAAAACGACUGAACAAGAAAAAUCUUUCCUAUGGGAUGAGAACAUAAAAUUGCUUAUCAGAAGGCAAAGGCAGGGACCAUUGUUUCAGUUUCAGAUGCAUCUACUUAUUUGGCAGAUUUUAAGGCUUUUAAUGCCCACAUGCCCAUCAAGUGUUUACUUGCAUGAGUGUUAAAAGCUUACAACUCAAGGGGAAAACUGGUAACGCUUGAAGAGAUUAGGUGAGGAGAUAAACCUGCAAGCACCAAUCCAGCAGCAAUGGCACAUUUAUUAUGGAAGACUCUGCAUCUUUAGAAAGAAUAUCUUCUUCAAUGAAUCCCAUUAACCGGAGAGAUGUAACACCACAAUAUGUUGCACCGCCUGUGUCGCUAAAAUGAAUAUUGCAUCAUUGGAGGAAAAUAAAUUUUCAAACUUUUUGGAUUUACAUCAUGAGCUAGUCUAAGCAGAAAUUAUGCUGUUUUCCUCUAGUAAAUACAAAAUAACAACAAUCGAGUAAAAUAUUAACAAGAAAGCAACUGGUAAGGAAAUAAAAAAAAUGGGGACAUUCAUAAUUGUUAGAUAAGUACAACUAACACAUUCUUACAAAAUGGAGCACAUUGACUGAAAAACACUCACCAUGAGAUUCUGAACCUGGAGUCAACCCAAAGCCUCCAUCGUAUGACUGAAAGAAGAAGUCACUUCUCUAUAAGUAUAUCUCUAAAAUAUAUCAAGAAUUUGGAAAUUUACUGAUUAAAUGGAAGAUAUAAUUCCAAGAGGAUGACUGCAUUUGUCAUACAGACCUGGCAAUUUAUUAUGUACGCCUUGGCUUUCUCCUUGUCCAUGCCACUCCAAUUUCCCAUCAUAUGACAAAUGGCCACUGGUACAUCAAUCAGCUAAAUUGAUGCUACAUUGUCAAGUAUAUUGAAUUAAACGGCUUAAAAAGUAACUCCAUAAAAGCUUUUACCGUCUUACCAGCACAAUAAAUGAAUCGGAGAUCAGUCUCGGCCCCUGUAUGUAUAGGCAUAAAACUGCCAAAAUCAGUCGAAAAUAUCAGGAAAUUGGUCCAGCUACCUCAUAACAUCCCCUAAGAAAUGGCUAUAAGCUUUCCUGUAAACCACAAUACCUCCCAUCAGGCUGUUGAAGGUUUCUCAUUGACGUUAGUAUCGACUCAGAAUCAAUACUGGACAAGUCAUAGCCGAUGAUUUUAAGUAUCGCCACAGCACAAUACGUGCUGGCCAAGUUACUGACACUGCAACUUAAUAAAGCCUACAUCAAAAUCAAACUAAAUAAUUACAAACCGGAAACACGAAAAAAGUAUAUCAUUCAAUGCUCUUAUACUAAGAAUUUGCUUAAACUACGCGAACUGGUUAAAACCCGAAAGAAAGCUUAAACAAUACAUAAACUAGUUCAUAGUUUCAUACCCCAUUGUCUUUAUCCUCUGAAGGAAAUUGUGCAGAUCUGGAACCAUAAAAUCCAUAGAAUUGUCCUACAACAAAUCAAAAGAUCAAUUUUUUUUUAUUAAUUUAAACUAGAAUUCACACUUAAAUGAAAGCAAUUCAAUUCGAUUCGAUUCAAUUCUAUCGAAUUCGAACUCAAAAAUACAAAUCGCCCCAUCUACCGUUGUCCAAUUCGGACUGGCUUCUCGGGUGAGCUUGCAACGACAGAACCCACUUGGCAACUGCUUCCUUGUCAACCUACCAAAUCAAAGAUUGCAACUUUCUAUAUCAUUUAUUUCAAAUUUGAAUUUCAACAACGAAAAUUGACUAACGACGACGUACGAGGCGAUCGGGGGCGGCGAGGAGGUCGAGGCCGGAGAUGACAAAGUAAGCUAGAGUGAGGCUGUUGAUUUCCUGGGACUGGUAGGGGGACGGCAGCAGCUGGUACUCCAUCUGAAGAAACGUCACGUGCCGGUCACGCUCGAAAAUCUCCGAAGCCAUGGCCCGAUUUUAUUGGACGGAGAUGGGGCAGUUGGAGAUCGGAGAUCCUACUGAUUGCUUGGGUUUCUCUAACCAGCUUUUGGCUUUUAACUGCGGAGGUGCACGGCGUACGAAGUCGACGGCUGAGAUACGUUGAGUCCGUUUCUAAAGCGUUUUCGGAUGUCGUCAUCUACUCAUCUUCGAACUUCAGACAACUGUUUUUUUCUUUCUUUUUUUUUUCGCGGAAAAUAAUAAAGGGCGCCCAAAUAUCAUGAUUUUCUUUUCUUUUUUGAAAGUGGAAUACAUCAUCAAUUUUAACUUUACAAAAAAAAAAAAACGAUUAUAUAUAAACUUAAAAUAUACUGGUUUAUUUAGUAGGAGAUUAACUAUUAGAUUCACCCUUAAAUUGCUGAAAUUUAAUCAUCAAUCUAAUUACUCCUUCGUAAUGGAAAGACUAACUGAUAAAAUUAAAAUAUUAAAAGAGAUUGUGUUUAUCGAGAGAGUAUCCUCGCCGGAUUCUCGAUCACAUCCGUUCAUCGUAUAUCGUGCGGUCAGUUUUCAUCAAAUACUAUUUAUAUUCAAUUUUAAAUAAAAAAUUUACUAUAAUUUAUGACUCUACUCUUAGAUUCGAUUCUCACAAUCCAUUCAUCAUAAAUCGUGCGAUCAGUUUUCGUCAGGUACUAUUUAUAUUCAAUUUUAAAUAAAAAAUUUAUAAUAAUUUCUGACUCCACUCUUAGGUUCGAUUCUUACCAAAAAAAAAUUUGAACCAAAUUAUUGUUAGCCCAUUGUGAGGCUUAACUCACUCCCUUAAUGUAGAUAAUUUAUCAUUUGUUAAAAAAAAAAAAACUAAAUAAUUAAUCCUUCAUGGGCUCGGGUUUAAAGAUAUGAAAUAAUGAACUCAAGAUUUAACUGAUUCACCCCUCAAAACUGGGCUGCAUCAAUUAUAACUUUCGGAAUAUAUUGAUUCAAGAUUAUAAGAAGCACUUGGUUAUAGGCUAAGUUCUCUUGUCUCUCAAUUGUCUGACCUGCUAUAAGAGGUACUUACCCCCUUAUAUAUGUCCUCAAUGAGCCCAAGAAGUCCCAGGCUCAUCCACUUUAUUAUUUUAGCAUUAAAUGGGCUACCAGCGUAGACUGCUGUGCUGACUAUCCUUUCGUUCAUCAGUUGACAUUUGGUAGUGAAGUGACAGUCUUUUAACUCAAUUACAUGUUUUAUGGGCCAACGCGUACCAAGCACGAGGCUCGGCCUUGACUAGUCAAUAGUGUUCAUUCGGAUCAAGGCCUGGUAUCCUUUUAUGUCCCAUCCUAGGCUUUUGGUUUUACUGGUGACUAACACAUCGCCUGGGUUGGUGUCUAAGUAUGCCUGAUCCUAGAGUCUUGUGCAAUAAAGUUGUCAGUCUGCCCACGUGCUUUGACGUUUGGGAAGUGCUUUAUGUUAGUCAAACAAAACUAGUGAACAGUUGACUAUAACGCUCCAAAAUGCCCCUUUCUAAUUCCUUGGACUUCCAUUCCUUCUUUGUGCCUUGACCUUUCUUGGGCUUUCCGCGAUCUUUUUUUGUACUUGUACUAUUUUGAGGGUCUAAACCCUGCGCUAACAAUACCAAAGCACCAACAGGAUAUUCUUCUGGUCGUUUUGGUGAGGAUCCUGGAGAUUAGUAACUAUUUGUAUUUAAUUUUAAAUAAAAAUAUUUAAAAUAAUUUAUAACCGCAUGAUGUAUAAUGACCUGAUACUAUUUAUGGAUCUCCGUGACCUCACAAAAAGGAUCCGGAUUCACCAAAGCAUGUGGUAGUAUUUUUUUUUAUUAUCCCAUAAUUGUACAAUUUCAUAUAUAUUGGACCCACAAACAAAAGACGGAAUACAAAUCUCAAAUUAUUUUGACGAAUCCGUUCAAUUCCAAAACCCACCCUAAAACCCUGACCAGAGCUCACCUCCUUUCUUUCUCGCUCUCUCGCGCGAACACUUUCUUUCCCUGAGUAAUUUCGUCGAGCACUUGGGGUGCAAUACUGCGGAACCCAUGAAGGCCAACAAGGCAACCGUCUUAACAUUUGCCGAGAAAUGCAAGGUAUUCAUAUCCCCUCAGUUUUCUCAAUUCAUUUUAUUUUUCAUGGUUUUGUUGCUACAAGAGUCUCAUGACCUCAAACAAUUGCAGAGUAUACUGUCUUCCAACUGGCAAGGGCAACUCAAUACCAUCAAAGCUGAUGCUAAAGGAAGGUAACCUAUUUCGUCAAAACUCUUCCUUUUUAGCUAUGCUUAGUGGGUACAAGACUUAAAGAAUCGGGCUUUUUACAUUGGUUUCGAUUGCAAAAGGCCUUCACUCAACUGAGUAUAAUACUAUAUGUUGGGUGGUCAUGUUAAAAAUUUAGCUGAUCAAAGAUGUAACCGAAAGGAUUGUAUUAUUGAAAAGAAAUCACAUUGAAAACCCGACUGAUUAGGUCAACCCCGUGUAGGUUAUCUUUCACUUCAUAAUCUCGUAUAGUAGUUUGGAAUUGAGUUGAGUUUCUGAUUUCGUUUUACAUAAGUAAAAUGAUAUGAGUUCCCAAGUUUAGUGUCUGUUCAUCUUGUUGUGGGCUUUAGUUAGUAACCGUUAAAUGUUUAAAGCAGCAGCAAAGACUGCUACUUUCAUCCAUUAACUAAUGGGAUUUCUUGUUGUUUGCUAUGUAUGGUUGUGUUAGCAAGGAGGACAUAUACACAUCAAAGGUUAAGUACAUCUGCAAAAGAGGGAAGCCAUACCUUUGGGUGCCCGAAAAGGAGUUGCAUAAUGUGGUAAGCUCAUAUCAUAGUGUUUAGACUGAUGAUUUUUACUUUCGGACAUGAAGUCAAGUCAUUAAGUUUUCACUUUAUUUGCCUGCUGGUUGGCUGUAUUUUCUCUAUAGUGUGUGUUUGAGAUUUCUCUUGAUCAAGUACACAUGUCCUCCGAAAAAGAGGAAUAAUUUUAUUGUCUGGUAGCAGGCACCUUGUGCAUGGGGACGAAGCUUUAGUCAUUAAAGCUGUUAUCCUCAUUUUCUUUUCCUUCUCUUGCAGAAUGUAGUUGUUGAUGAGCGCUGUUCAUUUGCUGUCACCAAUCCCAUCCCAGGUCCACUGGCAAGCUUACUUAGAUCAUUAAGAAAGGUAUUCAAUUUUGAGUUAUGUGACACCCUUCCCUCUUUUCCCAGUUAUAACUACUUUACAGACAGUUUUUUCUACCCCAAGAUUUGUCAAAAGAUUUUUCUUCCAUAAAGCAUGUGAAUAUUUGGAAUAAUAUUGAUGUGAUGCUGCAUAAGGUACGUGUAUUUGAGAAAGUAUUUCCUUUGUGCAUAUAAAUCUAAUAGUUGAUUGUUCUAAAUUUGCAGACACCGCCUCGAAUUGCCCUGACUGGCGAAGUUGUGCCUCUAACUGAGGAAAAGGUAAUCUUAUUCUACCCCUACUUUACUUUUCUGAGCAUUCUGAACUUGAAUAGAUUUGAUUUCCAACUCAUGGGAUCCAUGUUCUUUGUCACGAAACCGUGUCUUUUCUUUUUAUAAGUGUAGGUUUACUUUACUGCUUUGUUCGAUUCUAUGAUUCUACAACCGUUGACCUUUAUUUUAAAAAAAAAAAAAAAAAAAAAAAAAAUUUCAACACAUUCUUAACUAACUAUGCCUUAAAUCACACUAGGUAUCGUCCCACCUCUAACAUGGUUAUUUUAGGCCGGUUCCUGAAAUAAUCCACUGGAUAAGGGAAAAUCAAAACAAAGGAGGAACGGGGCAUUGAGAAUAUUAACUCCUCAUUCACUGAUGAUAUUCAUCAGGUUUUGAAGGAGCAGGACAUUGGAAAUAUUAACCUUCAUUGAUGAUUUUCAUCAGCUUAAGUUGGUUGCGAAUAUGUGAUUGAAUUACACCUAAUCCUGCUUAGGUUAAAACUUCUGACCUCAUUAGUAAUAAGCAAUAACGGGAAAUUUGAGCUCUGAAAUUGCUUCAGGAUUAUGGUUACAGUGUUUUCUUUUAAUAAAAUGUUAUUAUUCUUGUUAUAGGUUCAAUCUGCAACAAAAGUCCUUAGAGAAGUCAUACGGUCAGACAGAAAGCAGUGAGUGAGUCCAGUUAUACAGUUUCAGGUAUAUUAAGUUCUUCUGAUCAUAGCUGUACAUCACGAAGCGAAAGCCUUAAGGAGCUCUUGGAAGGCGAUGAAAACUACAUAGUUUACAAGUUCAAUCAAAGGCAAGAACCUUGCCUUCUGGAAUUUAAUUGAAAUCUUUGUCUAAAUUUUGUUGGUAACUGAAUCCAGUGUUUUCAUCAGUAUGUCUGAUUGUGAUUAUCCUAGGGUCAGGUUAGAAUUUGGACAAUUUUCAUAGCAAGUAUUGGAGCAGGUCCAUCUGUUUAUAAACUGAAUUACCAAAUAAACUUUUCGUGUCGUCCCCGUCUAUCCAACCUGAUAAUAUGAAAACCUCCUAGCUAGUUUCAAUAAUUUCAAUCUUUAAGAGGACAACAUAUAGAGCAUUACGCUGCAUUCCAUUAAUACAACUAUGGCUAUAGGUCCCAUCAUUCCAUUAAUACAACUAUGGCUAUACGUUCCAUCAUUCAUGUAGUUCUUUGAAUAUAUUUCCGUACUCUCUUCGAACGAGAGAUAUGUUAUGCUUGACGUAGACUGUGAGACCUGAAAGUUUCAACACCAACGACCUCUGACUCAAAAUAUUUAUUGUCCAGAUCGUGUAUGUAUGUUGAUGGCAGUGGAGACACUCAUAAGAUUGAUACAGAAGAUAUGGCUGCGUCUAAAGCAGAUUUGUUAGGUAGAACCUAUUUGAAAGUGCUUUUAAAGGUUUCCUAUAGCUUGAGAAAAUACGACUUUUGUCAGUUUACUCACACGUAUAAAAUUUUGAUGUAGCUCCUUUGUCUGCCAAACUCAUUGAUGGGAUAAAUCAAAGUGCAGCAAGACGUAGAGCGCUAUGCUUUUCUGCUGUUCAUACUUGAAUGCAAAUGCAAAGGUAGACAAUCUUUUAUUAACUUCUAAUUCUUUGACAAGAUCAAGGGUAGGAUCAGAAACAUAUUAACUCAUUUGUAUACAUGUUGUCAUGGAAGGAUGCAUACAUGCUGUCUAUCGACCGCAAGGGGUUUGAGGUGUUGAGCAAGGUUCCGAGUCCUGGGUUUAAGGAUGGAUUUGGCCAGUUCGAGUGGAAGGAAUUUAGACUGUCAUUGAAGGAAGAGGCACGUGACGUUGAAGCAUUCUGCCGUAAACUUGUGGAAAUGGAAGAGGAGGCUGUAAAGGAGGUUUCAGGCCAUAGUGGUUUAGCAUAAAAAGGUUAAAAGGCAUAGCGGAAAGAUUUCUCGACUGCCCAAACCAUUCACGUAUUGCUUGUUUUUGUAAUGAAUCCUAUAGCUGGAUGAGUUUUGUGAUCCUUUUCCCAUUCCUGCAUUUGUACCACGUCGUCUGCUAAUCUGAGACGAGAGUAAGUCCUUGAAUCCCUGACGGACUUCUCGUUUUGCUAACGUCUAUAUCCCGACUACCAUGAAAUCAUAAUAUAGUUAUGGCAGGAGCCCGGUGGAUGUAUGCGUAUCGAACAACUAAAGCAUGUAGAAUUAAAGGCCGGACUCAAAAGCCGGCGUACUUAUAAGGGAGUCAAGGGACUAAUGCUACAGAACUAACAGCCUCCUUAGCCUCAGCGGACUCAGCUGCUUUGCCGACUUCGUUCUGUAAUUGACAGGUUCCUUCCGUCACUCCCGACUGCCAUACAAGUCUCGCGCAGGUAAAGGCGACUUCUGGCGGCAGCCAAUCUGUCCCACCCUAAGUCGAGCUUCUGAGAAAUCCCAAUUGCUUGAGCGAGAGGAAAAACAGAGACGGUGAAAUUGGUAAAAAUAACAUAGUAAAGAUAAAACUCGAACAAGCAGCAAUUUGACCAUGAGGGCAUAAUCAAACAGUAAAUCUAAGAGAAAUAAUUUACAAAGUAAAUAGGCUUUCAUUGGCUAAAUACAGCGAUACGGUGUUCAACAAAAUGACCAAGAAAACAUCCUACAUCUUGGAUUUUAAAAUCCCAUAAAAGUAAACGAUUUCAAACCUUAAACUUAAAUACACAUUCACUAGCUUCACCUCCACCACUUCCUUCAAAGCACACAUCUUGGAUCGACGAGAACCGCUUAAUCAACUUCUUCGAUCUUGGGACCAGCACUGCUGCCACCAGCAGGAGGAACAUCUUCAUCCAUGCCGCCACCGACAUCAGGUCCACCAGCACCACCCUGGUACAUCUUGGCAAUGAUCGGAUUGCAGAUGCUCUCCAGCUCCUUCAUCUUGUCCUCAAACUCGUCGGCCUCAGCAAGCUGGUUUCCGUCAAGCCAUUGGAUGGCCUGGUCAAUUGCAUCCUCAAUCUUCUUCUUGUCAGCUGCGUCUAGCUUGGAGGCAAUCUUAUCGUCCUUGAUCGUGUUCCUCAUAUUGUAGGCGUAAUUCUCCAGAGCAUUCUUGGCCUCCACCUUCUUCUUGUGCUCCUCAUCUUCUGACUUGUACUUCUCAGCCUCUUGAACCAUCUUUUCAAUUUCUUCCUUCGACAAUCUUCCCUUGUCAUUGGUGAUGGUAAUCUUGUUCUUCUGCCCUGUAGUCUUGUCUUCAGCCGAGACGUUCAAUAUACCGUUGGCAUCAAUAUCAAAGCAGACAGUGAUUUGCGGAACACCCCUUGGAGCAGGAGGAAUGCCAGAAAGCUCAAAUUUUCCCAACAAGUUGUUAUCACGAGUCCUUGUCCUUUCACCCUCAUAUACUUGGAUCAAGACACCGGGCUGAUUGUCUGAGUAGGUUGAGAACACUUGCUCCUUCUUGGUUGGAACAGUAGUGUUCCUUGGAAUCAACACAGUCAUCACACCUCCGGCAGUCUCCAAACCAAGGGACAGAGGAGUGACAUCCAGAAGCAAUAGAUCCUGCACCUUCUCAUUACCCUCACCGCUCAAGAUGGCAGCCUGCACGGCGGCACCAUAAGCUACAGCCUCGUCUGGGUUGAUGCUCUUGCAUAGCUCCUUGCCAUUGAAGAAGUCUUGCAACAACUGCUGUACCUUCGGAAUCCUAGUAGAGCCACCCACUAGCACAACAUCAUGGACCGUGCUCUUGUCCAUCUUUGCAUCUCUCAAACACUUCUCAACGGGCUCCAUACACUUUCUGAAGAGAUCCAUGUUAAGCUCUUCAAACCUGGCACGGGUAAUGGUUGAGUAGAAAUCAACACCCUCGUACAAAGAAUCAAUCUCAAUUGUGGUCUGAGCAGUGGAGGAGAGAGUCCUCUUUGCCCUCUCACAAGCAGUUCUCAACCUCCUAAGAGCUCUUGGGCUGCUGCUGAUGUCCUUCUUGUGCUUCCUCUUGAACUCUUGAACAAAGUGAUUCACCAUUCUGUUGUCGAAAUCUUCUCCUCCCAAGUGGGUGUCUCCGGCAGUUGCCUUCACUUCAAAGAUACCCUCUUCAAUUGUGAGCAGGGAGACAUCAAAAGUGCCUCCGCCAAGAUCGAAAAUCAAGACAUUCUUCUCCCCAACGCUGGUUGCCUUCUUGUCAAGACCGUAUGCAAUAGCGGCAGCGGUGGGCUCAUUGAUAAUACGCAAAACAUUAAGGCCGGCAAUGACCCCAGCAUCCUUUGUGGCCUGACGCUGAGAAUCGUUGAAGUAAGCCGGGACAGUAACAACGGCAUUCUUUAUAGAUGAGCCAAGAUAGGCCUCAGCAAUCUCACGCAUCUUGACGAGAACCAUGGAGGAAAUUUCUUCAGCAGCGAACUGCUUCUCUUCGCCCUUGUAUAUGACAACAAUCAUGGGCUUGUCACCGGGGCCGGGAAUGACCUUGAAAGGCCAGUGCUUCAUGUCACCCUGGACAGAAGGGUCAGAGUAUCUCCUACCAAUCAACCGCUUGGCAUCUGAAAAAUUAACCAAGCUCGUUUAAAAUACUAAUUUAUUAAUUACGCAUAACACAGAACAUGCUACCAAUCAAGCUAAAUCCUUUAAAUAUUAUCAAAAAUAAAAAUAACCAAACAGAUCAAGCUUCAAACACUACAAGCUCAGACAGCGUUUCUAAAAUUUCACCAUCAAUUAACAAGAAACUUAAAACCCAAAUUAUAAUUUUUAAGAGAUUAACUAAAACUCAAAGCCUUGAUCACCAAGUACAAUAUUUGAUAGUCCUUUAAUAUUAACUACAUAAAUCCUGCAAAUAACAAUAAAUAAAAAAAUCAACCAUUUUUUUUCUUUUUCAAUUCGCUAUAAAAAGAUUCAAGGCAGGCAAAAACCUCGCAUAAAAUUAGCUCCAUCGUAAUUUAUCACACCGAACCUCAAAAAGAGAAGUACUUUCAAGGAAAUUGAACUCUUUUUCUCAGAAAUUCAAGCAACAGAAAUCCAAAAACAGAAAAAUUUAAACCAGCAGCAAAUAUUGACAGUAAAUUCAUAAAAUCAGCCAUACAAGCAUAUAGAUCAGACAGUACAGAGUAAAAUUGAUUCAAAAAACGCAACAUGCAAGGCAACAAAAAAAAAAACAUCAUAACAUCAGAAAUAUCGCAAGAAAAGAGAAGAAUUUCGAUUCUUACCAAAGACGGUGUUGACGGGGUUCAUCGCUACCUGGUUCUUGGCCGCAUCGCCGAUCAACCUCUCCGUGUCAGUAAACGCCACGUAAGACGGAGUCGUCCGGUUGCCCUGAUCAUUGGCGAUGAUCUCGACACGAUCGUGUUGCCAAACACCGACGCACGAGUAAGUGGUUCCGAGAUCGAUCCCGAUCGCUGGCCCCUCUCCCUUUCCCGCCAUUGCAACCGCAGAGAUUCAAGCAAUCGAACAAGCAAAGAAUCGCAGAUAAAAUUAAAGAUCGAACCGCAGAGAAAAGUAAAGAGCUUCUGAGAUUUUUUGUGCAAUGGGCUGUUCGUAGUCACAGGUGUUGGAUUAAGAGUAGUGAAUUGGGGGGCUAUAUAGUAGGACACUUGUCUAGAAUGUUCGUGAGGAUAUUGACGAUUUUUGGUGGGAGGGUGUCCAGAAUGUUCGGUUUGAUAACGGCCGUUGGAUUCGAGUGUCGUGGACGGUGAUGAUUUGAUUUGCUUCGCGGGGUUGGUUUCUUUACUUUUUGAUCGAAACUUCGUGUCCACUCCCUUCGUCGUCGGAAAUUUGUCUUCUCGUCAAUUUCCUUGUUGGAAAACGUUUCACAGGACGGUGGCGUUUUGCGUGUGGGCUGUGACUUGACUUUUGGGCUUUCGAAGGGCUUUGAAUCCAAACGUGUUUGGGUCAGGCUGCACUGCAGUCCUUAUGGUAUGUGUUUGUGCAAUACUGUUUACAAUUGCUUUUGGACCAAAUGUAAUGGUUGAGUUAAAGCUUAAAAUUUAAGAAAAAUUAAUGAAAAUGAUUUGAAAACUUUAAGUUUUAACAAUAAAGAUAAAAUAAAGGGUAAAAUGAAUAGUAUCAGGAUUGACUUUUUAGUGUAAAAAUAUGAUUUUUCGUUAAAUUGAACAGUACUGUGAGCUUUUCGUUAAAGUUCUCUAAAAUUUAAUCUUUAUAUUAUAUCCCCCAAGGCAUUUCCAAUUAUUACUCUCUUUUAGUAUUUUUUGGCAUCAAUCCUUGGUAAAAUGCAAGUGAGUCAUGUGAAAGCACUUUAAGUGCUUUUAGGUCUCGUUUGGCAGUUCAGACUAUACUGACUAUUUCAGUCGGAUAGAAUAAUCUAUCACCGGAUUGUACUGACUAAAUUAAUUGAGUGUUUGGUGCAGUAUCAUACUAAUUACCGUAUUAUUUAUAAUCUAUUUGUUACCGUAUCCGAUACGAGAUCGGAUUAUAUUAUUUUUACUAAAAAAAUUUGAUGACUAAUGAAAAAAAGGAAAUAAUUUUUUGAUAAAAAUUCAGAACAACCAAAUGCAUCAAAUUAAAUAAAAAUAAUCUUGAUAUUGCAUUUUCUAUUUGUCCUUUAUUUAAAUCAAAUUAUUAAAAAAAAAAAAAAUCAUUUCUUCCCUAGAUCUUCUCCACUGCACAUGAUUCACCAUACCAAAUGGGAUGGACAAUAGAAUCAGCAUAAACCCUAUACCCAAUAGCAUGAGACUUCUUCCCAAAUGUUCUAUGCAUGUGAGAUUGCUCCCUGAUCUCUCACAUUUCUUUCCAUGAGGAGUCAACCCAAUUCCAACGAUGCUGCAGCGAUGUUGAGCAGUAGGUGAAUGCAGGCGGUGCUCCGACGACGUGGGUUUCAGUUGGAUCUAGUUCAAAUCUAGGAUCGAUGGCACGCGAACCCGUGCAGGCAGAGCCGGCCCUGCGGGUGUACAACAGGUGCCACCGCACAAGGCCACCAAUUCGGAAGGGCCCCUAAAUUUUCAUUACAUAUAUACAGAUGCAUAUAAAAUAGAUUAGAUGCAAAAAAAUAAUCUUAUCUAUGGUUCUAGCGUAAGCGAUUUAGCUCUUCUUUCUUCUAGCUCAUGUGUUGGGUUUGAAUCCCAAUGAUAUUGUUUUGUUAUAUUUUAAGCUUUUGCAAAUUUGUAAACAGGAGAUAAUUUGUUAUAUUUUAAGCUUUUGCAAAUUUGUAAACAAGAGAUAACAAAAAGGCAUUCAACGUGUAUCAAACUCAGGACCUUUGAAGGUAAGGAAAAACACCUGGCUAAUCAAACAACUUAUUUUUGUUGCAGUAACUUGUAAUAUUUUAGUUUUAUAGAUGAAAAAAUUGAAAAAAAAUAAUAAUAAAGAAAUAUAACAUUAAAAAAAAUGAAGGGCCUCCAUCUAAGUUUUGCACAUGGCCCCUCAUUACUCAGGGCCGGCCCUGCGUGCAGGUCCUACAACGAGGAACUGUAGAGGAGGGCGACGGCCGCGACGAGAAACUAAAGAGGAGGGCGACAACUAUAAAGUGCAAAAGGAAGAAGAAGAUGAAGAAGAAAUGAGAAGGAUGAAGAAGAACCUGGGGUUGAAGAUGGAAACAGAAGUGAGUUUGUAGAAUGAUGCGAGAAAGCCAGACCGAUAGAGGGAGGACACAGACCCGACUAAUAAUACAUAGGUUUUUGGAAGGAUAAAUAGCGGCCAUACACCGGAUAAAAGAUGUAGGCCUAGUUUAAGUAAUACGGGUACUAUUUAGUACAUAGUUGCACCAAACACCCGGCUCCAUAUAACUUAUCCUAUAUGAUUCCUUGUACAACUCACAAAUGAGGCCUUAGAACCCGAAAAUAUUUUCACUAAAAGUCAUUUCAUUCAUUUUAAAAGCACUUCCAAAAAAGCUCUUAAUAAAGCAUAAUGAUUGGAAAUGUUUGGGAGGGACAUUGCAUUUGAUCUAAAAGCAUUUCUAAACUGAUUCAUCAUGUAUUGCACAAACACACACCAUAUGAACUGUAGUGAAUCAAAUUUCACGCAACAUACUCUAUAAAUACCUAUGUAUUUAUUCAAACAUCCACACAAAAUUAGGAUAAUCUACAUAAUGUGUAGAAAUGAUUUUUCAUAUGUGUAUGAACUUGUGUUUAAGAAUGGGGUGGAUUUGUGUGAUUUUUUUUAUUAUUUAUUAGAAUUCUAAUAUUUUUAGCUUAAAAUAUAAAUAAAAAUAAAUUAGUAUAAUCUACGUAAUUUUUUUUUUAAAUUAUCGUGAAAAAAAUUAAGCUAAAAUUAAUUUUUAAUAAUUUGGGGCUUCAAUUAAAAAAAGCCAUAACUAUUGGAAGUAAAAAACUUUUUAUAGGUUAUACCUUAAAAUUUCAUGUUUAACUCACACCAUUGCACAUUGUUUUACAACUGAUUUUAUAAUGCUCAUUAGCGUUUCUUCUACAAGGAACUACUGCUACAGAACUAAUAGCCUCCAUAGCCUCAGCUGCUUUGAUGACUUAUAACUUCUCCAAAGCAGAUGUCAAAAUUGCCACAUAGACAUAUACUCGAACCGAGCCUUCAAUUUCCUAUACGGCGUUGAGUCAAUUGAAGACAAAGUAUUCUGUUGUCAAAUCCAUUUAGUAUUUUUCUAAUAAAUUUAAUGCAAAUAUAAUAAACGUUGUGUAUUCUAAGAAUUUGAUUGGUUGCCUACAUAAAUAGACCCCACAAAGUGAUUAAUUUUUUUUUAAAUGACAUUAUUGUUUAACAUAUCGGGUGGUAAAAAGAAUUACUCCACAAAGUGAUUAAUUUUUUUUAAAUGACAUUAUUAUUUAACAUAUCGGGUGGUGAAAAGAACAAUAAAGACAAAAUUCAAACAGGAAAUCUGAGAGAAUUUUGUAAAAAAAAAAAAGGCUUCUUUGGCAAAAUACCGGAAUACGAUAUUGAACAAAAUGACCAAAAUCACCAAACAUCCUACAUCUUGGAUUUUAGAAUCCCAUAAAAAAGUACCCAAUUCCAAACCUUAAACUAAGAAACAGAAAAAUACGUUCACCACUUUCUUCAAAGCAAACACUUUGGAUCAACAAAAACCGCUUACUCAACUUCUUCGAUAAUAAUAUUGGGACCAGCACCGCUGCCAGCAGCAGGAGGAAAGUUCCCCCAGCACCCUGUUCCCUGGUACAUCUCGGCACUGAUCGAAUUGCAGAUGCUCUCCAGCUCCUUCUUCUUUUCCUCAAACUCGUCAGCCUCAGCAAGCUUGUUUCCGUCAAGAAAAAGAAAGUAUCUCGAUUCUUACCCAGGACGGUGUUGACGGGGUUCACGGCGACCUGGUUCUUGGCCGCAUCGCCGAUCAGCAUCUCCGUAUCAGUAAACGCCACGUAAGACGGCGUCGUGCGGUUACUCUGAUCAUUAACGAUGAUCUCGACGCGGUCGUGUUGCCAAACACCGACGCACGAGUAAGUAGUUCCGAGAUCUAUACCGAUCGCUGGCCCCUCUCCCUUUCCCGCCAUUGCAACUGCUGAGAUUUAAUCCAUCAAACAAGCAAAGAACCGCAGAGAAAAGUAAAGAGCUUUUGAGAUUUUUGGGCGAUAGGUAAAGAAACUUAGCUAGGAACAAAUCUCAGUUUGUAAAAAUUUCCCGCCUUUUUGUAAGGUAAUGCUAGGGAGACUAAAUUUACAAAUUAAAUUAUGUAUUAUCAACAAAAAUGAGUACCUUUAUUCAUGUUUAAGUAAUAAAUCAAUUAUCAACUUCUAUGUUCUUUAGUUUUCAAAAUUUAGUAUACAAAUUUAGUCUUUCAAACAUUUCUCUUUUUUGCAUGUCCAUGUGGAAUACCAUUUUCCCAUCAUAGGUAGGGUUUUUUUUUCUUUUCCCGUUCACGCAUAAAGACAUUCUUAUAGUAACAAUACGCUAAGGUACAAUGUCUAAUUUUAAUAUUUGUACUUAUCAAGAGACAUUCUUUCAUUUUAAUUUUUUUUAGUUGAAAAUUUGUAUGAACUUUUACACCGUUAUAUUUAAAUUAAGAUACUGCAAGCCUCUUAACUUGAAAAGAGAAAAACGCAUAAAGCCUAUUAAACCAUUAUUUAACUGAUAAAAUAGUAUAUAAUAAAGAAGUUAGUAGAAAACCUAUCGUAAAUACAAACAAAAUGACUUGCACCAAAGCCUAGUAAACCAAAAAGAAAUGAUGAGAAUGUAGAGAGGAUAUUAAUAUUUGUAAAUGUAAAGAACUAAGGGGGUGUUGUUGCGCAGGACUAUCUCAGACUGGACUAGCUUUAAGGACUAAGCUGGACUAGUUUAGACUAGACUAAGCUGGACUAACUUAGUGAAGCGUUUGAUGCAGUGUUGGACUAAGAAGUUGGAUAAUAACAAAUUCUAAUAUUAUAAUAUUUUAUUAUGAUCUAGGUGACCGGAGAUGACGAGGAGUCUAUCGGGAGUGGUUGUUGAGCAUGAUGAGGACGAGAGAGGAUAGUCUUAGCUAGUCCCAUGAUUAUUGGGGGUCUCGCUAAGACUUCUUAGUGAAGGAUUUUGUCCAUGUUAGUCCCCUUUAGUCUCAUUAAUGUUAGUCCCAGCAUGGAACAAACACAGUAUUGGACUAACAGCUAGUCCAAUCCAGUCCAAUCCCACUUAGUGAGGGCAAACAAACGCCCCCUAAAUGAAACGUACACCCAUUACUGGUCCAAAUCUGUAAUCCUUAUUUUAGAUUGCUAAAAUGAAACUGAAAAUGAACGAUGCUAAGUAUACAUGUAUGCUGUCUUUGCUUGCGAAACUCAAGCAAUUUGCUAAAGCUGAGAAACUCUAUACUGAAUAGAACUCUAUUUCGGAGACACUAGGGUUUCAAAUAUACUCCUUGCAGCAUACAUCAAAGAAAACCAAACGAAAGUACUGAAACCUUUUGUUUAUACCAUAUUUAGGGCCUUGUAUUUAGACCUCGUAUAAAUACUCAGGAGACUUAAAUGUAAUUAUGUAAUAAAGGAAGGGGUAAAUAUGUAAUUAGGGGAGGAGCCCUUAUUCUAUAAAAGGGCCUCCUCACCCUCACAAACGGGGGGGGGGGGUCUCUCCUCAUCCCUCUCAAAGCUCUCACUCUCAGAGCUCUCUCUCCCUCAUUUCUCAGAGAAAUAUAAUACAAUCUGUGUUGACGUAGCCCAAACCUUGGGGUGAACCACGAUACAUCUUGUGUCAUUUACAUUACUUGCAGAUUCACGGUCGGAUUUACGUUGUUCCAAGACCUCCGGUUUUGUGCAUCAACAUUUGGCGCCGUCUGUGGGAAACGACACGAAAAGUUAUGUCGGUUCUCUCUCAAAUUUUCAUCUCACCACCGUGAAACCCUCACAACCUCCACCAUGAAUCUGUAGAAACCCAAUAACCAAACACCUAGAGAGUCACUGCAAAACCCAUGUCUUCCGUUCCAGCUCCCGGUCACGGCAGAAGCGAUGGAAACACAACCACCACCUCAUCUCUCUCUCUCUACAUUUUCUGUGCAGAUCUUGAGACCUAAAUCAGAACAUAAGCAUCAAUGUUACAAACUAAACCUGCAUCAGAAAAUAGAGCCUCAGUGCUUCUCAGCCGUUGGAUCCAUAGCGAAGCUCACCAGCUUCACCAUUUUGCUCGCCUUCUUGCUUUCCUGCUUCACUUUUGCUUCUACACAAACUCAAAAUCCCAAAUGGAUUUCAAGCUCCAAGCUCUGCUGUGCCUUGUAGUUCUUCAAGUUCUGGUCUUCUUCUCAAAGGAAGCAGAAGCAGCAGAACACAGCCAUGGCAGCAACUUGAGAGUCCACAAGAAGUAAGUGAGCAGCUGCAAUUUGUUCCAAGGCAAUCAAGGUUUUCACCUACCUUCGAAUCUGCCAUCUUAGUUAGAAGUCCACAAUCAAAUGAACUCCGAAUCCUCGAAUUCAACCGCUGCAGUUCUCUGGGCUCGAGGAUAGGUUGUGGCAGAAAUAACGAAAAAAACAGCCACUGAUGAUGCUGCAAACUCGCCACGGCCACCAGUGGAAAACCAACGAAAAAGGCCAAGAUGCGGAGGUUAGUGCAUCAACACACUUUGUUCCUUAAAGUCAAGGUCCGAGGAGCUGGCUGCGGGAGGAAGAAUGGGGCUGAUCUGGUUUGGAAGGAGUGGCCCAGAUCAUGUCGACAGAGGUAACAGUUUCUUCUGGCAGCCAAAAUUAAAGGUCCACUUCUCUUUCCUCUUUACACCAAUCACCAAAGUCAUCAUCCAUGGCUGCCUCAUCCUCUUCUGCAACCUUCAAGAAGGUCUCUUUUUGCCACCCUUAGCUUGCACAGCCCGCAACCAUCUGCCGCCUACUGCACCACCAUCUUCUCAAGUAGACAGCCACAUCCGGUUUCGUCAGGUCCAUACACGUGUCGCUGCAACUACAGACGCAAAUGGAGACGCCACUGUUUCACGUAGUGAACGGCAGCAAGUUCCAUGACUAUGAGCCGGUGAAGAGCCCACCUGGGCUGUUGCUGGUGUAUGUGCUGUUAUCAUCAUCAUCUCAUUAAUUUUGGAGAAGGUCCUACACAAAGUUCGAAAAUUCUGCACCUAAAAAGAAAUGGAGGGCACGACAAAAGAAGAAGAAAAUGGAGGAAAGGAAUAAAGAAAGAAAAAGGUGUUAGUGGAAUUGUAAACAAUUCCACAAAGAAGUGGAAGACUAUUCUGCACCUAAAAAGAAAUGGAGGGCACGACAAAAGAAAAAAAAAAUGGAUGUCUAGAGAAAAGCAGAAAGUAAAAGCAAAAAGCAAAAGAAGAUAUAAAGAAGUAGACAUAAUUGCAGUGGUGAUGACAUGUAGAAAAGGGAAUUAUGGGCGUGACCCAUUGAGCAGAGGGUGGGCUUUAUUUUUGAAUGAUGUGAUUUAUUUUUUUUAUCUCUAAGAAAUAUCUGUAUAAACCACAUCAGAGGGUAAUAAUACAAAAAAAAAAAAAAACGGCAAAGCCCAAAAUUAAUGGGCUGGCAUGUCAUGGAGGGCGAAUGCCCAUAAGCCCAAAAUAGCACCAACCAGGUGACCAAAAGUAUGCCCAGUACUCCAAAAAUUAUUCGGCAACUUGCCUCUAUUAUCACCAACCAGGUGACCAAAAGUACGCCCAGUACUCCAAAAUUAUUCGGCAACCUGCCGCUAUUACCACCAACCAGGUGAUGAAAUGUACAACCCGUACUCCAAUAUCAUUUGGCAACCAACCAUUCAUACCACCAACCAGGUGAUGAAAUGUACAAACCGUACUCUAAAAUAAUUUGGCAAUUAGCCAUUUAUGCCACCAACCAGGUGAUCAAAAGUACACCCAGUACUUCAAAAUUAUACAUGAGCACUACUCAUGUCAUUCGUACAUAGACAUUCAUGAGCAUCACUCAUAUCAAUCAUACAUAAACAUUUAUGAGCAUCACUCAUGUUAACAUUCAUGAGCAUCACUCAUGUUAACAUCCAUGAGCAUCACUCAUGUCAAUCAAACAUUCAUGAGCAUCACUCAUGACAAUCAGCUUCAAAAGUUUCAUUUACAAAGCCUUAGCUUCAAAAGAGUCAUUUACAAAAGCUCUAGCUUCAAAAGCUUCAUUUACAGAGCUCCAACUUCAAAAGCUUCAUUUACAAAAGCUCUAGCUUCAAAAACUUCAUUUACAGAGCUCCAGCUUCAAAGCUUCACUUGCAAAGCUUCACCUACAAAGCUUCAGUGCAUGGUCUACAAAGACCGCCUCCGAACAACCGCCAUUUCAGCCCAUACAUGGAUUGAAUUUGAAGUCUCCAGCCAACAUCGUCUAUUGACCGAAGACUUGGGGGACUACAUUAUGUACCAUAUAUUAGGCCUCAACUGGGCCUUAUGAAAAAUACUUGGGGGACUCUAGCCCAUUAUUCAUGUACUGAGGAGCGAGCCCUUAUUUUAUAAAAAAGGACUCCCUCACCAUCAUUAGAGAGCAACGCCGCCAGCUGAACAACCGUCUCGCCGCCAGCAUCAACUCUAGCCUAUUAUUUAUGUAUUGAGGAGCGAGCCCUUAUUCUAUAAGAGGAACUCUCUCACUUUAAUUAGAGAGCACCCAUUAUUCAUGUACUGAGGAACGAGCCCUUAUUUUAUAAAAGGGACUCCCUCACCUUCAUUAGAGAGCAACGCCGCCAGCUGAGCAACCGUCUCACCGUGAGCAUCACUCCGAACCCAUAUUUAUGUAUUGAGGAGCAAGCCCUUAUUCUAUAAAAUAGACUCCCCUCACCACCAUUAGAGAGCAUCAACUCUAACCCAUCAUCCAUGUAUUGAGGAGUGAGCCUUUAUUCUAUAAAAGGGACUCCCUCACCUUCAAACGCUGCAAGCCGAGCUAACCAAGGCAACAUAAGCCACGAGCCGAGCAGCCUCGCAGCGUGUGCUACUUCUAGUUGAGCGUCAUUUUAGAUUGAGCACUGCCUCAUAUCGAACAUCAGUUCAAGACAGCAUCUAGUUACUUCGGCCCACACAUGGACUGAAUUUCAAGUCUCCAGCCAAAAGACUCUCUUGACUGAAGACUUGGGGGACUACUGUUUAUACCAUAUUUAGGGCCUCGUAUUUAGACCUCGUAUAAAUACUCGGGGGACUUAAAUGUAAUUAUGUAAUAAAGGAAGGGGCAAAUAUGUAAUUAGGGGAGGAGCCCUUAUUCUAUAAAAGGGCAUCCUCACCCUCACAAACGGGGGGGGGGGUCUCUCCUCAUCCCUCUCAAAGCUCUCACUCUCAGAGCUCUCUCUCCCUCACUUCUCAGAGAAAUAUAAUACAAUCAGUGUGGACGUAGCCCAAACCUUGGGGUGAACCACGAUACAUCUUGUGUCAUUUACAUUACUUGCAGAUUCACGGUCGGAUUUACGUUGUUCCAAGACCUCCGGUUUUGUGCAUCAACACCUUUCAUAGUCGGAUGGAGCAAAAUAUACUUCUUUCGUAUUUUCCCUAUGAAACCAACUUCAAAACUGAUAUACAAAUUAAAAAAUUUCAAACAUUCAAUUACCCAAAAACCACAGUGGUGGAAAUCAAGGCCGGCCCUAAGAAUUUAAGGGCCCUAUGCAAGAUUUAGAUGGAGGCCCUUCAUUUUUUAAUACUGUAUUUUCUUUGUUAUUUUUUUUUUCAAUUUGUAUCUAUAGAAUUUAAAUACUACAAAUUAGAGCACCACUUUGAGUGGACAAUUGAGUGUUUCUUGUCUUGAAAGGUCUUCAGUUUGAAAUAUGUUGCAUGGUUUUUUGUGUAAAACUUAACAACUUUUUAAGUUAAUAAAUUUGCAAAACUUAAAAAUAGCAUUUUUUUUCAAUUUGUAUCCAUAAAAUUUAAAUACUACAAAUUAGAGCACCACUUUGAGUGGACAAAAGUGUUUCUUGUCUUGAAGGGUCUUCAGUUUGAAAUAUGUUGCAUGAUUUUUUGUGUAAAACUUAUCAACUUUUUAAGUUAAUAAAUUUGCAAAACUUAAAAAUAGCAAAAUGGUUCUACAAGGACUUGGACUUGGGCCAUGUACAAGAAGAUAGAAUGCCUACACCACUAGCACUAGUGUGGUGAUUAUUAUUAUUUUGCACAUUUAAGUAUAUAAUAGGUAUCUGUUUACAUGUAAAGAAACUUUGGAGGCCCUUCCGAAUUUGGGGCCUUGUGCGGUGGCACUUUUUGCACACUCUCAGGGCCGGCUCUGGUGGAAAUGAAUUGAGCCAUUGCAUGACAGCGUGUUUUCGAACCCCAUCGGUGACUAAUCUAAUAAAACUUAUCGUUUGACAAAAAAAAUUCAAUUACCCAGAAACCAAAAAUGGAAAUUUUAUUAAAUUAAAUUAAAAUAAACUCAUUGGCAAAAGGAACAUAAAAAUGAAAAUUUCUACUAAAUUAAUUAAUACAAACUAAUGCGCAAGAGGAGCAUAAACAACCUUUUGAAUUAAUCUAAAGAGAUACAAACUAAAAAUACCGGUUGUGGAGCAAAAAAUAAUCACAAGGCGACACGUGGAUUCUUGGGUAAAAGAGGACAAAAAUACCCUUGAGGCAUACUGGGAUUCCUACGCGCGAGCAACGGGCAAUCAUCCCUCAACCAAGUCAAAAGUGCCCAAAAUAGGUAACAAUUUAAAGCCUAUUUCAUCAAAUCCUUUCUAUAAGGUAAUUCCUAAAACCUAAUUUAUUCUAUAUAUUUUGUAUUCCAUUAUUUAGCUAAUCAAUUAGCUAAAUGAUAUUUUCCUUUCAUAUUCCCUAAAAAUUGAUUAAUUAAGGGAUUAAUUACCUAAUCAAUCCCUUAAUUAUCAAUUAAAACACCCAUUCACACCUAAAACUACUAAGAGGUCGGCUACCUCCCUUUUCCUAACCUUUUUCACUUUUCUCCAUUUUAUUACCCCAUUUAUACAAAUAAUCAAUUUUGUAACUCCUAAUUAAACCUAAAUUAAACCCAAAAAACCCUAGCCACCUCCUAUCCCUAUAAAUAUACUCUCAUUCUCACCAAAAAAGCCAAUUCCAACACUUUGGCAAAAAUCCCAAAAUUCUCUAAACACUCUUUCUCUCUAAAUUCUAACUUUGGCAUCGGAGGUUCUUCGGCCAAACCCCCCCAUUCAUCGAGGGCGCACGAGGCUCUUGGCCUUAACCUAAGGUGUUAAUUGUUUUGUAGGUGCAAAAUUGUCCAAGAUCAAGGAGGAAGAAAUUUGCAUCCACAAAUUGGUGCUUUCAUUGAGAGUUGAAAUCCAUACUCGUAGAAGACUCUCGCACAAAAAGGUUUUUUCUUUAUUUUCUAGUCCAUUUGAAUAUUUUUCAUACGUUCUUAUUAUUAGAUUUUUUUACUUGCAAAGGUUCUUUGAUAAAACGUAAGCAAAAUAUGAUGGCUAGAAAUUUAGAAAAUCCACAAGUGAAAAUUCUAAUGUUCAAGAAAUGGGAUUGCGGAGAUCCGUGAGGCUAAAUGCGACAAUAAGUGGAGCAGCACCACCACCACGAGUUUCCACCAUGGGAACCACCACGGUGGCAGGGUCUAUGGUGCCUUCACCACGGCUCGAGCCAUGCCAUCCAAGGCUCACGGCCCAAGUCGUGCCAUCCAAGUUUGCACGGGCCCAGGCCCAAGCCUCGCAUUCGCAUGCAUCACAUACUAAGCAGCCUGCUCCAGCCAAGCAACCUGCUCUCGCGGCCCAGCCUGCUCUUGCCAAGCAACCUACUCUCACGGCCCAUCCUGCUCCAGUGGGUUUCCAAGUAGCCCAAGUCGGCCCAAGACUAUCUUAACCAUCCGGACCUACCAUCGAGCCGGGGGCAUUCUCACCAUAUUUUUUCAUGGAUUUGACAUUUCCCAACUUAAAUCUCGCGCCCGGAGUCUACCACCCUUCCACUGCCCAAGGAGGCGCAUUCCUUCCAAGCUUUUCCAAUCCAAAUGGCGAACAACACUUGUCUCGACAAGUCAUAGAGUUGACGAGCGCCCUUGCACAACAGACAACCUUGGUGAAUCAACUUUUGCAACGCAUCGGGAUCCAACGUGCCCGGACGAGGUAUCCCGAAGUAGGACAAAGGCAGACAGACCUUUUCAGCAGUGUCUCGGUAAGCAGCCACUCGACUAGCCACAAGCCGAACGUUUGGGCAGUGUACAUUCCCGUCUUAGCGCGCGGAGAAGCAUGCACUCUCGACUAGGCCCACGGAUGAGCAUACAUUCACAGUUGGGGUCAUACUCCGAUAGUCAACAUGAGUAACCUUCCAGAAAAAUUGUCCAUUCGUGGCUAAGCCCACAAAGAGCAUCAUCCACCUCACAUCAGAGUAGGCAACACGACGGACGGAGAGAAGCAGUCACUCAAUCCAGCUCAAGUUCAACCAGCAGCCUGGGAAAAACUCGUUCGCCUGCUAGGAACGCACCACAUGCACUGCAUCCGCAACAUAGACGAGCCAAACACAUGGAAGAGCAGCCUAGACCAGCAAGUCAUGGCUGGGGGGCAGCCGAGAGCUCCGCUACCCUAACAAAGGCAAAUUCAGGAAGAAGUAGAGAGACUAUUGACCAAGCGAUUGCAUGAUUUCCAACGCAACGAGGUCACCGACGAGGCACUACGACGGAACAUGACCAACAUAAGCAGGUCACCCUUCACAGACGAGAUCGAGCAGGCAGAGCCUCCACGCGAGUUCAGCAUGCCACAUUUCACAUAUUUCAAAGGGGAUGAAGACCCAGAGAGACACUUAAAGCGCUACCGAAGCGCAAUGAUCCUUUAUUGAAACAACGAUGAUCUCAUAUGUAAGAUAUUCGCCACCACUCUACAAGGCGAGGUGCAAGAUUGGUUCUACACCCUACCGCCAUAAUCCAUCCAGAAUUUCUACGAACUUUCUUUGGUUUUCACCAAAGAAUAUUCAUCUUAUCGCCCGAUCAAAAAGAAGGUUGACCAUUUGUUCGACAUCAAGAAGAACCCAAAGGAAUCGCUUCGCGACUAUGUGAGGAGGUUCAAAGUAGAGAAGGCAAAAAUAGUCGGAUGCAACGACUCGAUAGCUAAAGCAGUCUUCCAAAAAGGACUUCCAGCAGACCACCCGCUAUUCAAAAAAUUGAUCAUGAAAGAAGAUCUAACUCUAGCAGACUCUUUUACUUUGGCAGAGAAGCAUGCAUUUUGGGAUGAGGCUUGCCAAUGCACAUUCAAGGACUUGAAGAAGUACCCGACAUCACUUCCAUAGAAGCAGCGGAUGACUUAUUCGCAUGUUUGACGGUAUCUAAAGUAGCAAUAAGCUCUACCAUCAUGCGAGAAGAGCUGGGGGCCCGACUACCUGUAUUCUACAGUUCGAUGCUAUUAAAAAUUUAAAAGCUGACUUUGGCGAUAAUUGUGUAACCCAAAAGCUUAAGUUUUACCUUCAAACGCAAGCAGUCAUCAUCAUGACGCACUAUUCCACCGAAUCCAAACCGACAACGAUAAAGGCGUAGACCCUGCCAGAUGCAAAGUUUUCUGACGAACGUAAGAACUCAGCCUAACGACGCCCCGAAGGCAGUCGAGCACACUUUGGCCACACCUGCUCCCUCAAUGGAGAUUUUUGGGGUUUGCAUGUCGACGGCGCAUCCAACUACGAAAGCUCGCGAGUAGUCGUGGUUCUUGCCACCCCAGACAUUUCAAUGCUCAAGCAGGCGAUCACUCUAAACUUCAAAGCAUCUAACAACGAAGCAGAGUACGAAGCCCCACUAGCAGACCUUCAACUGACAAAAGACUUGGUGGUGAACAAGCUUUCCAUUCAUUCCGAGUUCUAGCUAAUCACCAGCCAGACUACCAGGGGCAAAUGCAUGAUGAUCGUGGAAACCGACUACUUCACCAAAUAAGUAGAAGCAGAGCCCAUGACGAUCAUGUUUCAGACAGACAUAGAGCGCUUCAUAUGAAGGAGUAUCAUUUGUCGAUUUGGCAUCCCUUAAUCUAUCGUCACCGACAACGGCCCGUAAUUUAUGGGCAAAGAUUUGGUGAAGUUAUUCAAAAAAUAAGGCAUCAAGUAGCACAUGUCUACGCCAAGAUAUCCUCAAGGCAAUAGGCGGGCCAAAGCAUCUACUAAGAUGAUCCUCGACUGCCAUAAGAAAUCCCCCACCAAUAAGAAAAGAAAAUGGCCAGACGAACUCCAAGGAUGUCUAUGGGCAUAUCGCACAACCAAAAGACGAGCAACCGAAAGUAGAUGGCCACAAGCUUAGAUCUGGCAGAAGAGAGUCGCGAACAGACUAUCAUUCGCAUUGCAGCCUACCAGCAUCAGCUCCUCUCCAGCUACAACAAAAGGGCCAAGAUCCGGCAGUUCCAACCCGGAGAUCUGGUCAUAAGAAAAACCUUAAUCACUGCCAGCAGAAAAGGCUCCAAAAAUAUGGAUCCCAUAUGGGAAAGUCCGUACAAGAUCAGCAGAGUAGGUGGCAAGAACAAUUACACCCUCGCCACCAUAAAACGACUAAAAGAUCAAAAAACAGUGGAACGCCUACAAUCUGAGGAAGUACCAUGUGUGACAUUUCGCUACAUCAAAGCCCGAAGACUCAAGCAGCUCGACGGGCACUACCUCACCAGCCGAGGAUUAUCCAGUUGUUAUGCAGUUAUUACCUUACAUCUAAGUUCUCGUUCGUUUAACUCAUUUUUCAAUGAGGAAUUCAUAAGUAAUCACGACUUGGCUUGGUUGCAUGCUUACAACAACUGAUCACUCCUGCACUUCAAAAGAAGACCGCGCCCUUCUUAGGGACUUACUGCAGGAAUUGCGCCCCCCGAAGGACCAACCAUGCUCUUCAGUGCGAGAGGGUAAACUAAUUGCUCUCCAACGCGAGAGGGUAAACCAAUUCCCCGACACCCACAUGGGUCAGCUCUCCAAGAACGGGAGGAUAAACUCUACACUCUGAAUAUCCAGACGUGGAUGAGCCGGGCUGCCCUAGUAUAACUAGAUGCACGAUGGCUUGCGCUGGGAUUCCUAGAAGUAGCCGCAAUGGUCUUUUUCAAGGCUUAGCUAACUGAAGGAUUUUGGGUCUCUUGGCCUAAUCCGUGGGGAACCGGGCCCUAGAGACGGAGAGGGCACAUUACACAGUACAUCCGAUGGACGACUGCCCUGGAAUCCUAAAGCUGCUACCGAGUGCACUAAGGUAGCCUACGGAUUCCAGAAGACUGCCUACGGCUUGCCCUUCGAGCAGUAAAGCUGCACUAGACUUAUACAACCACACAUUCUUGUGAAAGGUUAAACAAGCUAGCACGCAUAUACGAAGUUUUAUCCACUGCCGACAUGCUACGUAGUCGAUAAGCUUCACCUCUGCUAAGCGCGGAACAACCUACACCAAGUCCUAAAGUGUUGUGAUACUUGCUACGCAACCUACGGAAUUGGAGAAAGUCAAGGUUAACAGCCUAGUGGUUACGCGGACUUGUCUGCUUCUAUAAGUAAGGCAUCCGGCUGCCAACCCAAUGGCUAACAACUUUGCAAAGUUCUACACCAAAACCUACGGCUGCAUAGGCUACAUGAGCAUGUCUGCUUAUAAAAAAAUAGCAUGCUUGCCACUGGUCUAUCAAGUCUAAAGGUUAGGGCAUGAACAAAAGAAGCAAAAAUGAAGAAAAGCUAAGGAAAACAUGUUUAUAAACGACUAGCAAAGGCCGAAAGAGUUCAAGCAAAACAAGAGCUACAAAGAAAAUCUUAAAGGUUGCCUAGAUGACUACACUUUAGCAGCCUGGACAUCCGACGACUAUUCGGUCGCCACAUCUUCAGCAGCCGCGAAGCUCUUAGCAGCGGCAUCACCCCCGACUGCUCCAGCCUGGGCACCAACUUCUCCAACUACUUCACCAAUACCAACAUGGACGCGCUGCAGCUCAUCCACUUCUUUCUUCAAACUUUCGUUGAUAUUCAGUACACCUUGAAGUUCCAACAUUUGGGGUUCAAGCCUAUCGACGAUUCUCUUGAAGUGGAUCACUUGAUUAUAAGCAGCAAUCAACUUUUCAUCCUUUGCAUAAGCAGGGAAAGAAGUCUUUGGUUUUUUCUAAGCCGUUAUCUCUUGAACAGGCAGGGAAGAUCCCUUUUCCCACCUUCACAUGCAGCAGGAUCCACAGCGGUGAUUGGACGAGCCAAUGCAUCCGCCUUGAUCCUAUUCACCUCUUAUUUUGGGAGCAGCCCAUGUUUGUCCUGACGAAGAGAGUUAAAGUAGCCAACGCCAUUCAUGGUACCUAGCAGGGGAGUUCAACCCAACAUUCCAGCAGCUCAUGAGGCCCACAACCUUUUCAUUUCUCUCAAUCACCUGCCUAGCUCGCGUCAUGUCUAAAAGCCCAAAAAGACAUGAGCCAUGUGAUUCGCCUAGCACUGCGCCACAUCGCCACAAUCCGUGGCCUUAGCCAUACAAGCUGCCUUUGGUUCUAGCCAAGUCGAGCAGUUUAAAGCAGUGGUCCCUGCCACAAUACCUCAUCGGCCCAUGUCGAGCCGACUCCUGGCCCAUGCUAGCCAACAUGCCGCACCACCCCGACGGCUGCCCCAAGGUAGCACCAUCCAAGAAGAAGACAAGGAAAAUUAAUUUUUUCUUACCUCAGUGCGGCAUGAAGAAGACGAAGAAAGCAACGAAAGACGGUCCUUUGCACGUGCAAGAUGUAGAAAAUUGCUAGAGGAGGGGGAACAAAUAUCCUCUAAGCUAUCUCUCUCUUGUAGGAUACAAUAAAUCGUUCUCCAAAGUUGAUUUAAUAACCCACUUAAGGUGGACUUAAAUAGGAUUUGAGAGAAAUUUAUUUCCCUUUCCUAGAAGGAUCUAAUUUCCUAUUAAAGAGAGAAUCUACAUCAAAAUAGGAAGCAGUCCCACGUUUCCUAAAGCAAGAUGAUCUCUACACCUGCUGCAAUUUCCUACGAGCAGCCCAACAGGUGUGGGGGCAUUUGUGGAGCAAAAAAUAAUCACAAGGCGACACGUGGAUUCUUGGGUAAAAGAGGACAAAAAUACCCUUGAGGCAUACUGGGAUUCCUACGCGCGAGCAACGGGCAAUCAUCCCUAAACCAAGUCAAAAGUGCCCAAAAUAGAUAACAAUUUAAUGCCUAUUUCAUCAAAUCCUUUCUAUAAGGUAAUUCCUAAAACCAAAUUUAUUCUAUAUAUUUUGUAUUCCAUUAUUUAGCUAAUCAAUUAGCUAAAUGAUAUUUUCCUUUCAUAUUCCCUAAAAAUUGAUUAAUUAAGGGAUUAAUUACCUAAUCAAUCACUUAAUUAUCAAUUAAAACACCCAUUCACACCUAAAACUACUAAGAGGUCGGCCACCUCCCUUUUCCUAACCUUUUUCACUUUUCUCCAUUUUAUUACCCCAUAUACAAAUAAUCAAUUUUGUAACUCCUAAUUAAACCUAAAUUAAACCCAAAAAACCCAGCCACCUCCUAUCCCUAUAAAUAUACUCUCAUUCUCACCAAAAAAGCCAAUUCCAACACUUUGUAAAAAAUCCCAAAAUUCUCUAAACACUCUUUCUCUUUAAAUUCUAACUUUGGCAUCGGAGGUUUUUCGGCCAAAGCCCCCCCAUUCAUUGUGGGCGCGCGAGGCUCUUGGCCUUAACCUAAGGUGUUAAUUGUUUUGUAGGUGCAAAAUUGUCCAAGAUCAAGGAGGAAGAAAUUUGCAUCCACACGGGUCUUGCCAAGAAUCAUGCAAUUCAACACCAUCAAAUUAAUCGUCCCAUUAGGUAAAGUUUCCGGCUUUGCAACAAAACUCUAUAGUGGUGGAGCCAAAAAACCAGAUUAGGAAGGGCCUUUCAGCCAUAGAAAGAAAUGAGCCUUUAAAAUAUAAUUAAUGACGAGAAAUUAAAGGUUUUGUUUUUUGUAUUGGCAUGGAAAAUUCUAAUAAAACAAGAAUGGUAGAACUUUACAUUUUGUAUAGAAAACUUAGUAUUGAAAUAAUUAUAUCAUAUGAACAAAACUUGUUUCAAGCUUUGAUAAAAAUAAAAAAAAUAAAAAAUAGAUUCGAACAAAAAUCUAAGAUCAUGACUUAAUUAGAUUUUUCUCUAGACUAUUUAGGCCUUUGAUUUAUAUCAACUAGCUAAAAAAAAGUAUGAUUUUUAUAUGGUAAAACGUAAGGCAAAUUAUAACCAAAAAAAAGGAGGGCUUAGUUUUAUUAUGGGGAAAAAUAAGGCAAAGUAUAAGGAUUUUGCUUCCAAUUUAAUCACAGAUUGGAAAUGUGUUCAUCUGUAAUUUGCUAGCAGCAAGAGUUGUUGCUGAUUUUUUCAGCAGUCAAGUUUUGUUCCAAAAAAAUAAACAUCUAAACAGUGUCGGAGCACAAGCAAGUCUCCAACCGAGACCAUUUGGAUAUGCAAAAAGCCAAAAUCCAAUGAGCUACAUGCUCAUUUUGGUAAAAGCUUGCAGACAACAUAUAUAAGACCUGAAAUUUCAAGAUAGGCCAUCACUGGUCUCUAUCUGGCUCCGCCACUGAAACUCUACAAAUAUAAAAAUCAUAACCCAAUUUAGACGAUAAAUUUAUGGAAGCAUAUAAAUAGAGAAAUAAUUUGCUAUUUUAAAAAAUUAUAUCCAUGUAAUCAUAUAAUAUGUAGCAAACCUCGUUGAGAAGAAAUUGAGAAUUUUGUAAGAUGAAGACUUUGUGCACAUUUAUUUAUUUAUUUUUUCUGAUUUCCUAGAAUGAAAUGAGAUUUGGGGGAGGAUAUAUCGGCAGUUUAGUUUGAUAGAAGCUACUUUUUGCUCAACGUGGGUGCCGUUUUUCCAUUUUUCACAUUCAAUUUUUUUAUUGAGGGUUCAUCACGUCCAUUUUUUAAUUUUAUUUUCAUGUUUACAAUCAUCCUGCGUUUUUUUUAAUUGUAUUUUCUUAUUAUUAUACAUUUUAAUGGGUGGGAUCUUAAUCUCUCUCCUAAAAUGGAGGAGGAGUGGGGUUAAUAUCUCCUUAAUCAGCAUGUCUUAAAUGAAAGAGCAGUAUGGCUAAUCUCUCCUUAAUCGGCAUGUCUUCCCCCUUUUUUUUUAUUUUUUUUCCUUUUUUUCUUCUAAUAAAAGGAAUUAAAUAUUUUUUUUCUUUACACAAUUGCCCUUACUUUUUUUUUUUCAUAUUCUAGAAUAUGCCCACAAACAAAUUGUGUGGACAUUUUUACUUUUGUUUUUAAAAUUGAGGGAGAGAGGAAGAGAGUGAAAGAAAAACGUGGGAAUGGGGAGAGAUGGAUAGAGGUUUAUUUUUUUAUAUAUAUUUUUUUAAUUAGAGAUGAUAAAAUUACAUGUAUGUGAUGUUUAAACAAAACAAAAAAAUAAAUUUUUGUUUUAUGAAAUUAUGUUAUUGUCCUUAACUUUUUUUGUAGUGAUAAAAACAAAUGUCUUUUUCACAUUUUUUGGGUUGAUAAAGAAGGUUUCAAUAAUAUAGUACAUAUUUUGUAUCAAUAUGAUAAGUCGGUUUACAAGCAUUUUUAGUCCAAGUGUAAUGGUUGGGUUCAAGCUUAAAAUUUAAGUUUUAAAUCCCCCGAAAGCAUUUCCAGUCAUUAGGUUUUAUUAGGUCUUGGUGAGAAAAAAAACACCAUUGGCCCAGAUUCCGCCCACAAUUUAAUAUUUGUACUUAUCAAUUGACAUUCUUUCAUUUUAUUUUUUUUAGUUGAAAAAUUUUAUGAACUUUUGCACCGUUAUAUUUAAAUUAAGAUACUGCAAGUCUCUUAACUUGAAAAGAGAAAAAAGCAUAAACCCUAUUAAACCAUUAUUUAACUAAUAAAAUAGUAUAUAAUAAAGAAGUUAAUAGAAAACCUAUCGUAAAUACAAACAGAAUGACUUGCACCAAAGCCUAUUAAACCAAAAAGAAAUAAUGAGAAUGUAGAGAGGAUAUUAAUAUUUGUAAAUGCAAAGAAGUAAAUGAAACAUACACCCACUACUGGUCCAAAUUUGUAAUCCUUAUUUUAGAUUGUUAAAAUGAAACUCAAAAUGAACGAUGCUAAGUAUACAUGUAUGCUGUCUUUGCUUGCGAAACUCAAGCAGUUUACAAAAGCUAAGAAACUCUAUACUGAAUAGAAUUCUGUUUCGGAGACACUAGGGUUUCAAAUAUACUCCUUGCAGCAUACAUCAAAGAAAACCAAACGAAAGGACUGAAACCUUUCAUAGUCGGAUGGAGCAGAAUAUACUUCUUCCGUAUUUUCCCUAUGAAACCAACUUCAAAACUGAUUAUACAAAUUAAAAAUUUUCAAACAUUCAAUUACCUAGAAACCACAGUGGUGGAAAUGAAUUGAGCCAUUGCAUGAUAGCGUGUCUUCGAACCACAUCGGUGGCUAAUCUAAUAAAACUUAUCGUUUGACAAAAAAAAUUCAAUUACCCAGAAACCAAAAAUGGAAAUUUUAUUAAAUUAAAUUAAAAUAAACUCAUUGACAAAAGGAACAUAAAAAUGAAAAUUUCUACUAAAUUAAUUAAUACAAACUAAUGCACAAGAGGAGCAUAAACAACCUUUUGAAUUAAUCUAAAGAGAUACAAACUAAAAAUACCGGUCUUGCCAAGAAUCAUGCAAUUCAACACCAUCAAAUUAAUCGUCCCAUUAGGUAAAGUUUCCGGCUUUGCAACAAAACUCUAUAGUGGUGGAGCCAGAAAACCAGAUUAGGAAGGGCCUUAGAAAUUAGCCUUUAAAAUAUAAUUAAUGAAGAGAAAUUAAAGGUUUUGUUUUUUGUAUUGGCAUGGAAAAUUCUAAUAAAACAAGAAUGGUAGAACUUUACAUUUUGUAUAGCAAACUUAGUAUUGAAAUCAUUAUAUCAUAUGAACAAAACUUGUUUCAAGCUUUGAUAAAAAAUAAAAAACAGAUUUGAACAAAAAUCUAUGAUCAUGACUUAAAUUAGAUUUUUCUCUAGAAUAUUUAGGCCUUUGAUUUAUAUCAACUAGCUAAAAAAAAGUAUGAUUUUUAUAUGGUAAAACGUAAGGCAAAUUAUAACAAAAAAAAAGGAGGGCUUAGUUUUAUUAUCGGGAAAAAUAAGGCAAAUUAUAAGGAUUUUUGCUUCCAAUUUAAUCACAGAUUGGACACGUAUCCAUCUGUAAUGUGCUAGCAGCAAGAGCUGUUGCUGAUUUUUUUAGCAGCCAAGUUUUGUUCUAAAAAAAAAUCUAAAAAGUGUCAGAGCACAAGCAAGUCUCCAACCGAGACCAUUUGGAUAUGCAAAACGCCAAAAUCCAAUGAGCUGCAUGCUCAUUUUGGUAAAAGCUUGUAGACAGCAUGUAUAAGACCUGAAAUUUUAAGAUAGGCCUGGGCCAUCACUAGUCUCUAUCUGGCUCCGCCACUGAAACUCUACAAACAUAAAAAUCAUAACCCAAUUUAGACGUUAAAUUUAUGGAGGCAUAUAAAUAGAGAAAUAAUUCGCUAUUUAAAAAAAAAUCUAUCCGUGUAAUCAUAUAAUAUGUAGCAAACCUUGUUGAGAAGAAAUUACGAAUUUUGUAAGAUGAAGACUUUGUGCACAUUUAUUUUUUCUGAUUUCCUGGAUUGAAAUGAGAUUUGUGGAAAGAUAUAUCGGCAGUUUAGUUUGAUAGAAGCUAUGUUUUGCUCAACGUGGGUGCAGUUUUUCCAUUUUUCACAUUCAAUUUUUUUUUAUUGAGGGUUCAUCACGUCCCUUUUUUAAUUUUAUUUUCAUGUUUACAAUCAUCCUGCGUUUUUUUUAAUUGUAUUUUCUUAUUAUUAUACAUUUUAUGGGAUAUUAAUCUCUCUCCUAAAAUGGAGGAGGAGUGGGGUUAAUCUCUCCUUAAUCAGCAUGUCUUAAAUGAAAGAGCAGUGGGGCUAAUCUUUCCUUAAUCGGCAUGUCUUCCCCCUUUUUUAUUUUUUAUUUUUUUUCCUUUUUUUCUUCUAAUAAAAGGAUUUUUUUUCUUUACACAAUUGCCCUUACCUUUUUUUUUGAUAUACUAGUAUAUGCCCACAAACAAAUUGCGAGAAUUUUUUACUUUUGUUUUCAAAAUUAAUGGAGAGAGGAAGAGAGCGAAAGAAAAAUGUGGGAAUGGGGAGAGGUGGACAGAGGUUUAUUUUUUAUUUUUUUUUAAAUUAGAGAUGAUAAAUUCACAUGUAGGUGUGGUUUAAACAAAAAAAGUAAAAUUUUUAUUUGUGAAAUUACGUUAUUGUCCUUUUUUUUGUGAUAGAAAACAAAUGUCUUUUCAUACUCUUUUAGUUGACAAAGAAAGUUUCAAUAAUGUGGUAUAUAUUUUGUAUCAUUAUGAUAAUUCAGUUUACAAGAGUUUUUAGUUCGAGUGUAAUGAUUGUGUUAAAGCGUAAAAUUUAAGUUUUAAAUCCCCUAAAAGCAUUUCCCAUCAUUAGGUUUUAUUAAGUCUUGGUGAGAAAAAAAACCAUUAGCCCAAAUUCCGUCCACAAUUCAAGCCAUAACCGUUGGAGAAAAAAACUGUGUAUGGGUUAUGGCUUAAAAUUUUAAGCUUUAACUCACAUCAUUGCACCUGGUCUUCAAUUGGUUUGUAAUGCUCAUAAGCGUUUGUUCUACAAGUGCUUUCAUAGAGAAACAUUGGAUCUUUUAUUAAAUGUUCAAAUACUUAUUGGAAAAUCACUUGGAAGUGCUUCCUAAAUCAUCGGUUGCUAAAUGCGUUUCUAUAAAACGCUUCUAUGAUACAUAAGUAGUUCACAAAUGCUUCUAAUUACAAUUUUCUUUCUCGACAACCAUAAAGACUUCUGAUUGCCUUUGUCAAUAUAAUUUAUAACCGCUUACGGGUCUUAGAAGUGUUUUUCCUAAAGAAGCUGCCAUGUGAUUUUUUCAUAAAGUAGUUGGAUUUUCAAUAAGAUUUUUAGAUGAGUUUUUCUAAAGAAGCUGCUAUACAGGCCGUAUUCUUUUGGAUGAGUGCUGUGAUCCGUAUCCCAUAUCUGCAUCUGUACCACAUCGUCUGCUAGAUUGAGACGAGAAUAAGUCCUUGAAUCCACGACGUACUUAUCUAGCUUUGCUAAUGUUUACAUCCCGACUACCAUGAAAGCAUAAUAAAGUUAUGGCGGGUGCCCGGUGAAUAUAUGAGUAUCGAACAACUAAAGCACGCAGAAGUAUAAGCCGGACUCACAAGUCGGCAAACGCUCAUGCUUGUAAUCGAAGGGAGUCAGGGGACUGCGCUACAGAACUAACAGCCUCCUUAGCCUCAGCAGACUCAGCUGUUUUGCUGACUUAGUUCUGUAAUCGACAGCUUCCUUCCGUCAUUCCUGACUGCCAUGUAAGCCUCUCGCGCAGGUGAAGGUGAGUUUUAAUGGCAUGGCGGCAGGCCAUUCUGUCCCUCCCACCCUAAGUGGGGCCUCUGAGAAUCCCAAUUGCUUGAGCAGGAGGAAGAACAGAGAAGAUGGUUUUGGAGAAGGUAAACAGGUAAAAAGAACAUAAAAGAUAAAAUUCAAACAAGAUCAAACGGUGAAUCUAAGAGAGAAUUUAGAAAGAAAAUAGGCUUCAUUGGCAAAAUACUGGAAUACAAUGUUGAACAAAAUGACCAAGAUCACUAAACGUCCUACAUCUUGGAUUUUAGAAUACCAUAAAAAAAGUACCAAAUUUCAAAACUUAAACUAAGAAACACAUCUUGGCUCAACAAAAACAGCUACAUCGACUUCUUCCAUCUUGGGACCAGCACUGCUGCCACCAGCAGGAGGAACAUCUUCAUCCAUGGCACCACCGACAUCAGGUCUGCCAGCCCUGGUGCACCUUGGAAAUGAUCGGAUUGCAGAUGCUCUCCAGCUCCUUCAGCUUGUCCUCAAACUCGUCAGCCUCAGCAAGCUGGUUUUCAUCAAGCCAUUGAAUAGCCUGGUUGGUCUGGUCACUCGCAUCCUUGAUCUUCUUGAUCGUGUUCAUCAUGUUGAUAGCAUAAAUCACCAAAGUCUUCCCCAUGUUGCAGGCAUAAUUCUCCAAAGCAAUCUUGGCCUCCACCUUCUUCUUGUGCUUCUCAUCUUCUGACAUGUACUUCUUAGCCUCUUGAACCAUUUUCUCCAUUUCUUCCUUCGACAAUCUUCCCAUGUAAUUGGUGAUGGUAAUCUUCUUCUUCUGCUCUGUAGUCCUGUCUUUAGCAGAGACGUUGAAGAUACCGUUGGCAUCAAUACCAAAGCAGACAGUGAUUUGCGGAACACCCCUUGGAGCAAGAGGAAUGCCAGAAAGCUCAAAUUUUCCCAACAAGUUGUUAUUGCGAGUCCUUGUCCUUUCACCCUCAUAUACUUGGAUCAAGAUACCAGGCUGAUUGUCUGAGUAGGUAGAGAAGACUUGUUCCUUCUUGGUUGGAACGGUUGUGUUCCUUGGAAUAAACACAGUCAUCACACCUCCGGCAGUCUCCAAACCAAGGGACAAAGGAGUGACAUCCAGAACCAAUAAAUCCUUCACCUUCUUGUUACCCUCACCGCUCAAGAUGGCAGCCUGCACAGCGGCGCCAUAACCAACAGCCUCGUCUGGGUUGAUGCUUCUGCACAGCUCUUUGCCCUCGAAGAAGUCCUGCAACAACUGCUGCACCUUUGGAAUCCUAGUAGAACCGCCCACUAGCACAACAUCAUGGACCGAGCACUUGUCCAUCUUUGAAUCUCUCAAACACUUCUCAACGGGCUUCACACACUUUCUGAAAAGAUCCAUGUUAAGCUCUUCAAACCUAGCACGGGUAAUGGUUGAGUAGAAAUCGACACCCUCGUACAAAGAAUCGAUCCCAAUUGUGGUCUGAGAAGUGGAUGAGAGAGUCCUCUUUGCGCUCUCACAAGCAGUUCUUAACCUCCUAAGGGCUCUUGCGCUGCUGCUGAUGUCCUUCUUGUUUUUCCUCUUGAACUCUUGAACAAAGUGAUUCACCAUUCUGUUGUCGAAAUCUUCUCCUCCCAAGUGGGUGUCGCCGGCAGUUGCCUUCACUUGAAAGAUACCCUCUUCACCUGUGAGCAGGGAGACAUCAAAAGUGCCUCCGCCAAGAUCGAAAAUCAAGACAUUCUUCUCCCCAACGCUGGUUGCCUUCUUGUCAAGACCGUAUGCAAAAGCGGCAGCGGUGGGCUCAUUCAUAAUACGCAGAACAUUGAGGCCGGCAAUGACCCCAGCAUCCUUCGUGGCCUGACGCUGAGAAUCGUUGAAGUAAGCCGGGACAGCAACAACGGCAUUCUUUAUAGAUGAGCCAAGAUAGGCCUCAGCAAUCUCACGCAUCUUGAAGAGAACCAUGGAGGAAAUUUCUUCAGCAGUGAACUGCUUCUCUUCGCCCUUGUAUGUGACAACAAUCAUGGGCUUGUCACCGGGGCCGGAAAUGACCUUGAAAGGCCAAUGCUCCAUGUCCCUCUGAACAGAAGGGUCAGAGAAUCUCCUACCAAUCAACCGCUUGGCAUCUGAAAAAUUAACCAAGCUCGUUAAAAAAUACUAAUUUAUUAAUAAUUCAUAACAUAGAACAAGCUACAAUAUCAAGCUAAAUCAAUUAAAACUUAUCAAAAAUAAAAGUAACCAAAUAGAUCAUGCCAGACACUAAAAACUCGGAAAGCUUUUUUAAAUGGGUUUUUAUUACAAACAGUCCCUAAAAUUGAUUCAACUCAUCAAGAUGAUCCUUGAAAUUGAAAAUCGAUCAAUUUGGUAUAUGAAAAUGGGGGGUCAGAAAUCAAUGUGAUCAUUCUGUCACAAUUCCGUCAAACUCUAUUAUGUGUUGAUGUGGCACGUAAGUGGGUCUUACAAGACUAAUGAAUAUUGCCAUAUGGAUUAGAAAUACUUAAAAUAAUUAAAAAUAUAUAUUUUUGGAUAAUUACAAAAAAAAAAAAAAAAAAAAAAAAAAAAAACAGUCAUCUUCUUCUCCCACCCAAGGAAGCUGCACCCCUCCACUUCGGCUCCGAAUCAGAAACUUCAUGCCUGAUAUCUAGAAGCCCCAAAGCCCUUAAUAUCGCAUCCACCGCACAAUGAAGUGACACAUCCCCAUAAUUCGAAUACAAAAUUCAAAAAUUAAAUCGAAAAUGUAAUAAAAUAAAUUAAAAAAAUAUGAAAUUACGGGAAGAAAAAGCAGAUUAAUGGAGGAAUACAUUCAUCUUUUAUUUUAAUUUUUAUUUAUUUAUAAGUUUUUAAUUAUAUAAAUAAUUUUUUAAUUAUUUAAAUAUUUUAAAUCCACAGAGCAAUAUUUAAUUAUAUUUGUGGCACCUGUGCCACAAAGAAUAAGAAUUUUUGACGUAAUUGUAACGGAAUGACCACAUUGAUUAGCGACAUCAAUUUUCAGAGAAUAUUAACCUGCAAAGUUCAAAAAAUAAUUAAAAAAUAAAAAAUAAAAAAUAAACCUGCAAAAUUAUUUAUCACACCCAGCCUAAAAAAAUAAUUGUGUUUGGGAUAAAAUCUGAACUUUGGGCCAGAGAGAAAGUCGGCCCAAACCCAAGGCCCAGAGGAAAACUUAGGAGGCAGGAAAGAGGCUUUCGGCUGGGCACAAGUUACAAAGGCCACCUGCUUACCUGCUCAAAGACCACAGGGGGUAGGCUAUUCAGUCACUACAUAGCCCAAUAAAGUACUUUAUUGGUGGCAUUCAUGUAAAAAAGCUAGUGAGUCAUCACCAAACCGCAUUCGGGCACCGCUAUUGCUACAGGAACCCAAGCUGAAGUCGUCUAUAAAAGGAGGAAGAGAAGACAGAAUUAAAGACACUCAAACAAACAAACAAAAGCCAAAACUCUGCUCAAGCCAGAUUUGCCUUCAACGAAGCUGUAGUCAGCACAAGCCUUCAUCCCAUUCGGGAUAAACCUUCCCAAACCCCUGUAAUAGCUCUGCUACCUUGUUCAUGGUGGUAUCGAUUCAUUUUGUAUCCUCUUCUCCCCCGUCAACCCCUCUAAAAACUUUCAGACCUCUGACAGAGCCACAAAGAUAGAUUUUGUAAGAAGUUCAGCCUUGGCCGAUAAGGUUCAAACUUACCCGACUAUCUUUGCUCUGUCUUUGUCUUUUCUUUCUUUUAAAAGCACAAUAACAUGUUAUAUAUUCCCAAUUAUAUACAAGUUAUUUCUAGCAAAGUCAUAAUGAAAAUGAGUCUUCAGCACUUGAAUCCGAUCUGAAUCGCGUCAGAGUUCAAAUCAGAUCUAAGUCUUAAGCCCGCGGGCAUGUAAUUUAAAGAUCAGUAAAGUCCUUGGCCUCAAGGCAUAAAAAAGAACUCUAUGUGGACUCAACCCAUCCACGACAAUCCUUGAUAAGCGAGAAGUCCGAAGUUACUUGGGGCGCAAGUAAUCAAUCUAUUUCUCCGUUUUGUUGCUAUUAUAUCUUGAUUCGUAGAAAAGGCUUAAGCACGGAGUGAAUUCUGAUAGAAAGCCUCAAGGCCUACACCUAAGGCCCCCUAAGGCCCCACGAAGGCAUCUAUUUAGCUUCAUUUCAUGUUGCGGUCUAGUUGGUCCGAGUAUAAGGAUUAACUCUGAUGGGAAGCCUCAAGGCCUAUACCUAAGGCCCUACAAAGGCACUCAUUUGGGUUCGUCCUACCUCUUGGAUUCAGAUAAUCAAAGGUAUAAUAGUGAUAAGACUCUGGCAACCAUAAAAGACCAAAUAUGAUACAUCCAAGCGCUGGUUUAGGUUGACAGGAAGCCUCAAGGCCUAUACCUAAGGCCCCACAAAGGCACCUGUUAUAUCUAACUUGGUUUCUCGGGCGUAUACAUAUUCAAUCAAAGCUUAACACCCAUUCAACAUCUGCCAUACUAAAGAUGGCAGUGGCACGCCUGAGCACGACAAAGUUAAUCUUGAUUGUGAGCCUUAAGGCCUACACCUAAGGCCCCACAAAGGCACCCUUUCAAAUUAACUUUGUCCUUCUCUUUCAGAACUGCCCGACGAGCCUUGCCCGAAGUGUGUCUUGCCCGACCAAGAUCUGCCCGACAAAGGCUUGCCCAAGCGAGUCCGAGAAGAAAGCAGAAGUACGACAGAUACCCUCAACCGACGCCAUUCUCCCAGGGGAGCUGUGUACUCGUCCGCCAGGAGAUUCCUGCGACGAACAUAGUUUUGGCACGCCCGGUGGGACAAGAAACAGCUACACUUCUAAGAUCUUACAUGUCCAAAAAAGAGAAGCUAUAAACUUGCCAAAAAAGAAGCCAAGAAGGAUCUUUUCCAGAUGACAGAACAAUCAGAAAAUCCUUUAUCCCCAUCCGGACAGGUGGUCUCAGGUAGUUCGACUGCAUCUGAGAAAUCACAGGGGGAAGGGAUUAAUGAAGAACUGCAAGCUACAAUGAUCCAAGUGUUGAAAAGCAUGGAAAGAAUUUCCUUGGAGACUAAGGGAGAAGUAAAGCAGACUCUGCAUGCUUACAGGAAAUCUACAAAGGAGGCUGGAUUUGGAGUUCUCUACUCCAAAGGGUGCUCAAGGAAGUGGAAUGAGUCCAGUUGUUAUAAGAAGUGAGCCAAUCAUUUCUUUGUUUCCACUACUAGAAGAAGAAAAGGAUAGGGGAAAGAAGAAGGUGAUACCUGAAGAAAGUCAAGCAGUGAUGGAGUCAGCUUCAGAAAAGGAGUUUCCCAGCUUCCCAUUAUUAUCAUUUAAUAAUAGGAGGCAGAGCGAACAAGAAAGAAUGAAGUUUGGACUGCCAGCCACGGCUGGGAGAAACUAGCGGGAAAGAAACAACCACUACUACGUCAGAUAAACCUCUACCUUAUAGGCCACCCCCGAUGGUCAACAAAGGUGGAGGAUCUAACUGGAGAAAAUCUGAAACCAAGAGGGAAGCAAACGCGGGCAAUGACCGGAGUCCGAAGAUUGAGUCAGCUAUCCAUGGCCAGAAUGAUAAUUUAGCUACUCAGCAACUAAGAGAAGAAUUGGCUGAGUUAAAGAAGAACGGUGAUUCAAAACGCCCAGCCUCGAGUUCGUCCAGUAUUCAGGGUUACCUACCAGAAGCCAUAUCCUGAAUAUAUCGAUGAGUUAAAUCCAUUCCCUCUUAAUUUCAAGAUGCCCGCAUUCCCGACUUUCACAGGGGAAGAUAGCAGUGUGUCCUCCAGAGAUCGUAUUUUCAAAUUUUCUAAUCACUGUGUGGCGUAUGAGGACAAUCCAAACUACAAAUUGAGGUUGUUUGGAAAUUCACUAGCAGGAUUGGCAUCUCAAUGGUAUUCUCUAUUACCCCCCAAUUCCAUUGCUAACUGGGGGCAAAUGGAGAUGGCUUUCCAUGAACAGCUCUACAGGAUAGAGCCAGAGCUCACCAUUAAUGAUCUGGUAGAAGUGAAACAAUAUGAUCAUGAGUCCACCGAAGAUUUUAUGAUGAGGUUCAGGAGGACAAGGAUGAGAUGUCAGUUCCCUGUCAACCAGGCACAGCUCAUAUCCAUUGCUCAAAGGGCUUUAAAAUUACCUUUGAGAAAGAGGUUCUAUGAUGCACAGUUUAAUGAGCUACAAGAGUUGGUGAUUGCUGCUACUAAGUAUGAGAGGCUGUUACAGGAGGAACAGCAGGUAAAACAUACUUCCAAAACUCCUCCGUUCUACAAAAAUAAAGCUACUAUUCACCAUGUAGAAGUAGGGGAAGCCGGACCCGAAUGCAAAGAUGAUCAUGAGGACAAGAGUAUAGAUGUAUGUGCUGCUGAGAUGACCACACCCUUCAAGCCAUUGACGAUCAAAGGGUUAGUCCAACCAGUCAAGGACCAGAAGAUCGUGAUGAAUGAUGGUGGGUUCGUACCCAUGAAACCCCCAAAGUAUCAAAGUUAUUCUUUCGAUCUAACCAAGGCGCCAGAAAUCUAUGAAGAACUUGUGCGGGCAAGAGUCAUUUUGCCCGACAGCACCAAAAAGAUGCCCAAGCCCGAGGAACUCAGGGGGAAGAAGUAUUGUAAGUUGCAUUAUACCUUCAACCACUCUAUAGUCAAUUGUGUCCAGUUUAGGGACUGGGUACAUGAUCUUAUAGUGAAGGGGAAGUUACUACUCGAUUCACCUCAGGCUAGUAUGUUGGUGGAUACUAACCCUUUCCCCGAAGCUCCUAUUAGCAUGAUCGACCUCGUUUUCAAGGAGUCGGGGUUAUCAACAGAGUAAAAUGCCAUUGAAAGGACCCGGGAGCAGGGGCUAAGAUUGCCAACAAUAAAGAUGGAGGAGAAAAGCAGGUAGGCAAGGGGGCAUAGAGUUGCCUGAGGCCUAUCCAAAUGGAGCAGAACAGGAGGAAUGUUACAUAUCCAUUCUAAAACAAAAAGAGAUUACAAAGUAAUUCUAUUCCAAAAACUUUAUAUCUUCACAUAAGGUGAUUAUUCUAGAAUGGUAUGUUCGCAUGAUGGUAAAAAUUCUAUUUGGUUCAGCCAAGACAGUAUGGCUGUUUACAAGUUCAGACUUGGUUUGCUCUAACUCUGAAGUCGCUUUUUCCACCCCUUCGAUCUGUUGCUCAAGGUUAUCCAGAAGAGUUGUUUGCUUCGCCUUAAGGAUCAUCAGUUGUCUCUCCAACUUCUGAAUUUCAGAAGAAACAACUUCAAUCCGUUCUUUGGUCUGCAUACUCUCUUCCAUCAGCCGACUAACUUGGGUAGAGGAGCUCGAUUCUCUCUCUAUGAAGCAUUUUGCCCGGUUAGCCAGCCGGUCUGCUCUCUGAUGUUGCUCCCUGAGGGCCCUCAAGUUUUCAAAGAAAGAAAGGAAAGAAUCAUACUGAGGCUUAGAUAAGCGAUCGUUUUUAAAGAACUCAGUAAUGACUCUCUCGAGGUCACAGAGAGCCUUGAGGCUAAAUGAUGCAGUGAAUUCUUUCUUUGCCCAUGUUUGAAAGAUUUGUGUUGCUGCUCCGAAGACAUAGAUUUUGUUGAAGCCUGCUUUGAAGACUUCAACCGCGUCUCAAGUCGCCCGAGUGCUUCGAAGAGUUUGGGCAACUUGGCAGGAUCAGAGGAGGAAGGAGAAGGGUCCGGCAUAACAGUUUCUUCUGGUGAGAUAAUGCCUAUGGAAGGGGCAAUUUCUGUUUGUUCAAUCGGUUCAUCUCUAGACAGGGAGGUGUCAACAUCUCCAGAGGAAGAAGGAGGUUGAAAGCACCUUGGGUUACGGGCCAUUGGAGGAGGGGAAGUUUCUUUUGGGGAAGCUCGCUACAAAACUUCAGGAUCAGGACAAGAUGAACUAUACACAAAUCAAAACAAAAGAGGCUUUGGAGAGAAGAAAGUUACCUGACUUAACCCCGGGGUUUCACCAGAAAAUGCACUAACUCCUUGUCGAGGUGAAGAUUUUUCACCACCAGCGACAUAUGGGAAAGUUGUGCCUGAACCUGUGCCUACAUCCUGGUUGUAUCCAAAGAAAGUAGUGAUGAUCAGCAAAAGGUCACCAGAGGAAGAAACAAGAAGAAAAUAUUCCAGCACCUGAGGUUGAUCUUGAGGAGAAGGAGGUUCAUCGACCGUCUGGCGAGUAAGCGCUUGCGAAAUAGUUGUGUCUAAAGCUACAGGGAUCUCAGGAACUAUGGGUUCUUUAUCCAAGGCCACUGACGGGGAAAGGGGUUCAUAUCCCGAAGAUGGCUGCAAAGAACAUGGAUAGGAGUUACUUGGGUAGCAAUGUGCAAAGUUGAAAUGAAAAGAAAGAGUAACUCACCAAAGUAUCAUCCUCAUCCACAAAAUGCAACAUGAUUCUUGUGGAAGGAUCAAAUUGAGAAGAAGGGGUUGCAUCUAGGGCAGGUUGCGGAGAAAGACUUUCUUUCCUUGUAGCCUAAAGCCAAAUUAUUCAAAAUUCAGAAAGGUUUGAAAAUAAGAAAGUAUAAAGAUAGAAGUCAUACCUCUUUAAGCGUAGCAGCCCUUCGUGAUUCCUUCUUAGAAGCAAGGGUUGACCUUUUAGAAGCUUGAGGUCCUGUUGAGUGAUAAAGGGAUAAUCAGAUAAGGGAGAAAGGUAGCCAUUUGAUCCAGAAGAGGAGAGACUCACUGGAAGAUUGUUCUGUCUCUUUACCCGCUUCAGAAACGGGAGCAGAUGGGGCUGCUGGUUUAGGAGGCACGGUGACUCUUGCCCGCUUACUCUUUCGGGUAAGAAUUGGUCGUGUGGUUGCUGAAGGAAGCGCCGGAUCAGAGAUUGUGGUUUUAGUUAUGGCCACCCUCUUUCGUUUAGAUGCUUUGGUCGUAUCUUUGGCUAUUCUUUUAAUUGUUUCUUCAGCUCCUGAAUCCCCAAGAGAUUCAGAGACGUCUGUCCCUUCCCCGGCUUCCCGCCUUUCAGCUUCUGCUGCAGCACCAUGAAGAACUGCGGCAUCAGCAGAAUCAUUCUCUGAUUCGAUGGCUUCGGAUUCAGUAUCAACUGAAGCUGCAGAAACAGGUAAGAGUGAGGAAAGUAAACAACAAGGAAAGCAAAAUCGGAUGGGAAGAAAGUCACCUAUUAGGAGUAAUCAGUUUUUCUCUUGGAUCAUAUCUUUCCAAUUUGCAAGCUCGCCCGAGCUAGGAUAUGAUUUAAGAGAAAGCUGGCUGAAAAUACGAUCGUGGUUCACUUUCAAAUCUCCUCCGUAUUUUCUAGUCCACCUUUCCUCCCACCAAGAAGAAAACAGCGAGGUACAUUCGAAAUUAAGAACAACGGAAUGUCGGGCUGCUUGGCUCAUCACGUCCAAACUACGGCGGGCAGCUCGAAAUAUUGCUUCAGAAUGAGUCUGUAACCGAAAUGAAGUGCCACAAUGGAUGGAGUCGAAGAAUGGGACAGGUAUGGAUUGCCUAAAUCCUAAUUGCCUGCUGCAGAAGUUAGGAUGAUACACAUCCAAGCCUCGAUCAUACCGAUUUCCCCGGACCCCCCAGGCCAAGUCUCUUGGCUGAAUACAGCUGAUAAACUUUUCCCUGCAGAAGGGAGCAGCAUCCUCACCAGGGGCAUCUUGGAAGGCUUGGUCAGAAAACCAAGGAUAUCUCCUCAAGACCGAUGCACCCCAUUCCAAGUCUGACCGAGUCCUGCAGACUCGGAAAAAGUAGAAGAAGCAUGCAAAGGUGGAAUGAUCUACAGGAGGAGCUUCAGCCAGGAUUCGGGCAGGAGCCACACCCUCUGGAAACUCUAGAUUGAUAGCCCGAAAUUCUGGAAAAUACCAUUGUAGCCAAAUCUGUAUCAUCCAGAUGGGGCCGUUCAAAUUGGUCUCAAAGGGCUCAUCCCGGGUCAUGUCAAAAAGAAGGUGAUAGAGAUGGGAGAGAAGGAAUGGACCUGUGGUAACGUCAUCAAAAUUGUGAAGAACCUCUACCAAGGGGAUCCAUUCUACCCGUACCCCCUUGGAUUUGUUGGGGAAGACGUGCUUGUUAAGCCAGUAAAGAAGAAAGUACAUAUGCUCUUGAUCUUUGUCGGCUUGAGGAGAGCCUACCCCGAAGUUCUUCUUGACAAAAGGGAUGAAUCCUUUAAAGGAGGUCCCAUAACUUUUGAAAGUAACUGAGUUAUAGCUAAGAGGAAGGAAGUAGGUGGAAGAACUUGAGCCCCCGGUGGUAGAGGAUGGAAUCCAAUCUUGAGUAACAUCUAUCACCCUGCCCGAUGGCCUCAACCCGAAGACUUGGGCCAUAUCAAGAAUGGUGGGAGACAUGGGACCCAUACGGAAAUCGAAGGUGUUUGUGCCCGUAUUUCCAAAAGAGGAGGGCAGAAGCAAGCAAUUCGGGCUUAGGGGUAAUUGAAAUCUUCGAAAGCAUAAUCAGUUCGUAGAUGCCGUUACUCAUCCAUUUCUGCUUGAAGGAAGGUUCCAAUUCGUCAAUCCACUGGGCCCAGGCAAGAUCAUUCAUCAAGGGAAAGACUCGACGAUGAAAAGACCACUUAGAAGAAGAAAUGCCCGAGUCGGCCAAAUAAGGAUUUGGGGUAAACCAGUUUCCCCUAGGCAUAUUACUUUCUACUACUGAGGGAACCCGAGAAAUCCAGGCAGGACCCAAAGAUUGAACCCCAUGCAUCUCAAAGAAGAGUUCAGAAUGCAGACCUGCCCGCGGACGAUGCAGCCCGUUGAGCAGACGGCGUAGAGUGGCAAUUCCUUCACCAGACUCGUAGGAUGGUAGGGUUUGGCCGGAUCCUGAGGCCAUUUAAUGAAGGCCGUGGGGAAGAAAAACAAGGAGAACGGUAAAGAUACAACCUCGUCGGACAACGAGAAAGAAAUGAUGGAAGAAUUGGGAAGUUUUGUUGUAUCAGAGAAGGUUUUCUUUUUACGAAACACAGAGAACAGAGAAGUUCACUCACAAGGGUUCUAAGAGUUCUAAGGGUUUAAAGCAGGGGUCUCUUUCAAUUAAUAUUGGCGCCUGGGAUCCCAACCUUAACAUCAAUUGAAGGGGGCACUGUUUGGGAUAAAAUCUGAACUUUGGGCCAGAGAGAAAGUCGGCCCAAACCCAAGGCCCAGAGGAAAACUUAGGAGGCAGGAAAGAGGCUUUCGGCUGGGCACAAGUUACAAAGGCCACCUGCUUACCUGCUCAAAGACCACAGGGGGUAGGCUAUUCAGUCACUACAUAGCCCAAUAAAGUACUUUAUUGGUGGCAUUCAUGUAAAAAAGCUAGUGAGUCAUCACCAAACCGCAUUCGGGCACCGCUAUUGCUACAGGAACCCAAGCUGAAGUCGUCUAUAAAAGGAGGAAGAGAAGACAGAAUUAAAGACACUCAAACAAACAAACAAAAGCCAAAACUCUGCUCAAGCCAGAUUUGCCUUCAACAAAGCUGUAGUCAGCACAAGCAUUCAUCCCAUUCGGGAUAAACCUUCCCAAACCCCUGUAAUAGCUCUGCUACCUUGUUCAUGGUGGUAUCGAUUCAUUUUGUAUCCUCUUCUCCCCCGUCAACCCCUCUAAAAGCUUUCAGACCUCUGACAGAGCCACAAAGAUAGAUUUUGUAAGAAGUUCAGCCUUGGCCGAUAAGGUUCAAACUUACCCGACUAUCUUUGCUCUGUCUUUGUCUUUUAUUUCUUUUAAAAGCACAAUAACAUGUUAUAUAUUCCCAAUUAUAUACAAGUUAUUUCUAGCAAAGUCAUAAUGAAAAUGAGUCUUCAGCACUUGAAUCCGAUCUGAAUCGUGUCAGAGUUCAAAUCAGAUCUAAGUCUUAAGCCCGCGGGCAUGUAAUUUAAAGAUCAGUAAAGUCCUUGGCCUCAAGGCAUAAAAAAGAACUCUAUGUGGACUCAACCCAUCCACGACAAUCCUUGAUAAGCGAGAAGUCCGAAGUUACUUGGGGCGCAAGUAAUCAAUCUAUUUCUCCGUUUUGUUGCUAUUAUAUCUUGAUUCGUAGAAAAGGCUUAAGCACGGAGUGAAUUCUGAUAGAAAGCCUCAAGGCCUACACCUAAGGCCCCACGAAGGCAUCUAUUUAGCUUCAUUUCAUGUUGCGGUCUCUAGUUGGUCCGAGUAUAAGGAUUAACUCUGAUGGGAAGCCUCAAGGCCUAUACCUAAGGCCCUACAAAGGCACUCAUUUGGGUUCGUCCUACCUCUUGGAUUCAGAUAAUCAAAGGUAUAAUAGUGAUAAGACUCUGGCAACCAUAAAAGACCAAAUAUGAUACAUCCAAGCGCUGGUUUAGGUUGACAGGAAGCCUCAAGGCCUAUACCUAAGGCCCCACAAAGGCACCUGUUAUAUCUAACUUGGUUUCUCGGGCGUAUACAUAUUCAAUCAAAGCUUAACACCCAUUCAACAUCUGCCAUACUAAAGAUGGCAGUGGCACGCCUGAGCACGACAAAGUUAAUCUUGAUUGUGAGCCUUAAGGCCUACACCUAAGGCCCCACAAAGGCACCCUUUCAAAUUAACUCUGUCCUUCUCUUUCAGAACUGCCCGACGAGCCUUGCCCGAAGUGUGUCUUGCCCGACCAAGAUCUGCCCGACAAAGGCUUGCCUGAGCGAGUCCGAGAAGAAAGCAGAAGUACGACAGAUACCCUCAACCGACGCCAUUCUCCCAGGGGAGCUGUGUACUCGUCCGCCAGGAGAUUCCUGCGACGAACAAAUUGCUUUCAAGGAAAUUGAACUCUUUUUCUCAGAAAUUCAGGCAAUAGAAAUCUAAAAACAGCAAAGUUUAAACAACCAGCAAAUAUUGACAGUAAAAUUCGUAAAAUCAGCAAGACAAGCAGAGAUCAAACAGUACGAGGCAAAAAAACAUCACAUAAAAAAAUUUCGCAAGAAAAAGAAGGUAUCUCGAUUCUUGCCCAGGACGGUGUUGAUGGGGUUCAUUGCGCCUUGGUUCUUGGCCGCAUCGCCGAUCAACCUCUCCGUAUCAGUAAACGCCACGUAAGACGGCGUCGUGCGGUUGCCCUGUUCAUUAGCGAUGAUCUCGACGCGGUCGUGUUGCCAAACAGCGACGCACGAGUAACUAGUUCCGAGAUCUAUACCGAUCGCUGGCCCCUCUCCCUUUACCGCCAUUGCAACCGCUGAUAUUCAAUCAAUCAAAGAACCGCAGAGAAAAGUAAAGAGCUUUUGAGCUUUUGAGAUAGGUAAAGAAACUUAGCCAGGACGAAAUAAAUUCAGUUUGUAGAAUUUUAUUUUCUUUUUACAUUUGUUGGCGCGUAAAGACAUUCUUAUAGUUAUAAUACAGUUAUAAUACUCUAAGUGCACGUACAAUGUUUAAUUUUAAUAUUUGUACUUGUCAAGAGAUAUUCUUUAAUUUUAAUUUUUUUAGCUAAAAAUUUGUAUGAACUUUUGCACCGUUAAAUUUAAAUUAAGGUUAUGCAAGUCUCUCAACUUGAGAAAAUCACACAAAACCUGUUAAACCAUUAUUUAACUAAUAAAUUAGUAUACGAUAAAGAAGUUAAUAGAAAGGUAACCUAUUGUAAAUACAAACAGAAUGACUGCACUAAAGCCUAUUAAACCAAAAAGAAAUGAAAAGAAUGUAGGUAGAAAAUUAAUAUUAGUAAAUGAGAAUUAAUAUUAAGGAAAACUAAUAAAAAUGGUUUAAAAACUUUGAGUUUUAACGAUAAGGACAAAAUAAAAAGUAAAGUGAAUAGUACCGAGAUCACCAAACAUAAAGGAUAAAAUUCAAACAAUAUCAAACAGUGAAUCCAAGAGAGAUAAUUUAGAAAGAAAAUGGGCUUCAUUGACAAAAUACUAGAAUACGAUGUUGAACAAAAUAACCAAGAUCACCAAACAUCCUACAUCUUGGAUUUUAGAAUCCCAUUAAAAAAGUACCCAAUUUCAAACCUUAAACUAAGAAACACAUAUUGGCUCAACAAAAACAGAUUCAUUGACUUCUUCCAUCUUGGGACCAGCACCGCUGCCACUAGCAGGAGGAACAUCUUCAUCCAUGGUGCCACAGACAUCAGGUAUGCCAGCCUUGGUGCACCUUGGCAAUGAUUGGAUUGCAGAUGCUCUCCAGCUCAUCCAGCUUGUCCACAAACUCGUCAGCCUCAGCAAGUUGGUUUUCAUCAAGCCAUUGAAUAGCCUGGUUGGUCUGGUCACUCGCGUCCUUGAUCUUCUUGAUCGUGUUCAUCAUGUUGACAGCAUAAAUCACCAAAGUCUUCCCCAUGUUGUAGGCAUAAUUCUCCAAGGCAAUCUUGGCCUCUACCUUCUUCUUGUGCUUCUCAUCUUCUGACUUAUACUUCUUAGCCUCUUGAACCAUCUUCUCUAUUUCUUCCUUCGACAAUCUUCCAUUGUCCUUGGUGAUGGUAAUCUUGUUCUUCUUCCAUGUAGUCCUGUCUAUAGCAGAGACGUUGAAGAUACCAUUGGCAUCAAUAUCAAAGCAGACAGUGAUUUGCGGAACACCCCUUGGAGCAAGAGGAAUGCCAGAAAGCUCAAAUUUUCCCAACAAGUUGUUAUCGCGAGUCCAUAUCCUUUCACCCUCAUAUACUUGGAUCAAGAUACCAGGCAGAUUGUCUGAGUCGGUAGAGAAGACUUGUUCCUUCUUGGUUGGAACGGUCGUGUUCCUUGGAAUCAACACAGUCAUCACACCUCCGGCAGUCUCCAAACCAAGGGACAGAGGAGUGACAUCCAGAAGCAAUAAAUCCUUCACCUUCUUGUUACCCUCACCGCUCAAGAUGGCAGCCUGCACAGCGGCGCCAUAAGCAACAGCCUCAUCUGGGUUGAUGCUUCUGCACAGCUCUUUGCCCUCGAAGAAGUCCUGCAACAACUGCUGCACCUUUGGAAUCCUAGUAGAACCGCCCACUAGCACAACAUCGUGGACCGAGCUCUUGUCCAUCUUUGCAUCUCUCAAACACUUCUCAACGAGCUCCAUACACUUUCUGAAAAGAUCCAUGUUAAGCUCUUCAAACCUAGCACGGGUAAUGGUUGAGUAAAAAUCGACACCAUUGUACAAAGAAUCGAUCCCAAUUGUGGUCUGAGAAGUGGAUGAGAGAGUCCUCUUUGCCUUCUCACAAGCAGUUCUCAACCUUCUACGAGCACUUGGGCUGCUGCUGAUGUCCUUCUUGUGUUUCCUCUUGAACUCUUGAACAAAAUGAUUCACCAUUCUAUUGUCGAAAUCUUCUCCUCCCAAGUGGGUGUCUCCGGCAGUUGCCUUCGCUUUAAAAAUACCCUCUUCAACUGUGAGCAGGGAGAUAUCAAAAGUGCCUCCGCCAAGAUCGAAAAUCAAGACAUUCUUCUUGCUAACGCUGGUGACCUUCUUGUCAAGACCAUAUGCAAAAGCGGCAGCGGAGGGCUCAUUCAUAAUACGCAGAACAUUAAGGCCGGCAAUGACCCCAGCAUCCUUCGUGGCCUGACGCUGAGAAUCGUUGAAGUAAGCCGGGACAGUAACAACGGCAUUCUUUAUAGAUGAGCCAAGAUAGGCCUCAGCAAUCUCACGCAUUUUGAAGAGAACCAUGGAGGAAAUUUCUUCAGCAGUGAACUGCUUCUCUUCGCCCUUGUAUGUGACAACAAUCAUGGGCUUGUCACCGGGGCCGGAAAUGACCUUGAAAGGCCAGUGCUUCAUGUCACUCUGAACAGAAGGGUCAGAGAAUCUCCUACCAAUCAACCGCUUGGCAUCUGAAAAAUUAACCAAGCUCGUUAAAAAAAUACUAAUUUAUUAAUAAUUCAUAACACAGAACAAGCUACAAUAUCAAGCUAAAUCCAUUAAAACUUAUCAAAAAUAAAAGUAACCAAAUAGAUCAUGCCAGACACUAAAAACUCGGAAAGCUUUUUUAAAUGGAUUUUUAUCACAAACGGUCAUUGAAAUUGAUUGAACUUAUCAAAAUGAUCAUUGAAAUUGAAAAUCGAUCAAUCUAAUCCAUAAAAACGGGGUCGGAAAUCAAUGUGAUCAUUCUGUCACAAUUCUGUCAAACUCUGUUAUGUGCUGAUGUGGCACAUAAAUGGGUCUCACAAGACUAAUUCAUAUUGCCACAUGGAUUAGAAAUACUUGAAAUUAUUUUUGAAAAAAAUAUUUUUGGAUAAUUAAAAACUUAAAAAAAAAAAUAGCCAUCUUCUCCCACCCGAGGAAGCUGCACCCCUCCACUUCGGCUCUGAAUCAGAAACUAUGCCUGAUAUCCAGAAGCCCCAAAGCCCCUAAUAUCGCAUCCACCACACAAUGAAGUGACACAUCCCCAGAAUUCGAAUACAAAAUUCAAAAAUUAAAUAAAAAAUGUAAUAAAAUAAAUUAGAAAAUGUGAAAUUACGGGAAGAAAAAGCAAAUUAAUGGAGGAAUACAGUCAUAUAUAUAUAUAUAUAUAUAUAUAUAUUUUUAAGUUUUUAAUUAUAUAAAUAAUUUUUAAUUUAUUUAAAUAUUUUAAAUCCAUAGAGCAAUAUUUACUUAUAUUUGUGGGAACCAGUUAUGUGCCACAAAGAAUUUUUGACGGAAUUGUAACGGAAUGACCACAUUGAUUUGUGACACCAAUUUUCAGGGAUUACAUUGAUUGAUUUUCAAUUUCAUGGACCAUCUUGAUAAGGUAGAUCAAUUUAAGAGACCAUUUAUGAUAAAAACCAUUUUUAAAAUUUCAUCCAACAAUUUACAAGAAACUUAAAACCCAAAUUAUAAUUUUGAACAGAUUAACUAAAACUCGUGGCCGUGACCACCAAUUAUAAUAUUUGAUAGUCCAUUAAUAUUAACUAAACAAAUCCUGCAAAUAAAAAUAAAAAAUAAAUAAACCGAUCAAUUCGCUAUAAAAAGAUUCAAGGCACAACAAACCCUGCACAAAAUUAACCUGCAAAGUUAUUUAUCAGACCAAGCCUCAAAAAGAUAAUUACUUUCAAGGAAAUUGAACUCUUUUUCUCAGAAAUUCAGGCAAUAGAAAUCUAAAAACAGCAAAGUUUAAACAACCAGCAAAUAUUGACAGUAAAAUUCAUAAAAUCAACCAUACAAGCAGAGAUCAAACAGUACAAGGCAAAAAAACAACAUCACAUAAAAAAGAAAGUAUCUCGAUUCUUACCCAGGACGGUGUUGACGGGGUUCAUGGCGACCUGGUUCUUGGCCGCAUCGCCGAUCAACCUCUCCGUAUCAGUAAACGCCACGUAAGACGGCGUCGUGCGGUUGCCCAGAUCAUUAGCGAUGAUCUCGACGUGGUCGUGUUGCCAAACAGCGACGCACGAGUAACUAGUUCCGAGAUCUAUACCGAUCGCUGGCCCCUCUCCCUUUACCGCCAUUGCAUCAGCUGAGAUUCAAUCAAUCAAACAAGCAAAGAACCGCAGAGAAAAGUAAAGAGCUUUUGAGAUUUUUGGGCGAUAGGUAAAGAAAGUUAGCCAGGAAGAAAUUCAGUUUGUAAAAUAUUCCCUCCCUUCUGCAUGUGCGUAUGAAAGACGCUACGCGCGGCGUGUAGAAUUAUAUUUUCUUUUUACAUUUGUUGGCGCAUGAAAACAUUCUUAUAGUUACAAUGCGCGAAGCGCACGUACAAUGUUUAAUUUUAAUAUUUGUACUUGUCAAGAGACAUUCUUUAAUUUUAAUUUUUUUAGUUGAAAAUUUGUAUGAACUUUUGCACCGUUAGAUUUAAAUUAAGACUAUGCAAGUCUCUCAACUUGAGAAAAUCACAUAAAACCUGUUAAACCAUUAUUUAACUAAUAAAUUAGUAUAUGAUAAAGAAGUUAAUAGAAAGGUAACCUAUUGUAAAUACAAACAGAAUGACUGCACCAAAGCCUAUUAAACCAAAAAAAAAUGAGGAGAAUGUAGGUAGAAAAUUAAUAUUAGUAAAUGGGGAUUAAUAUUAAGGAAAACUAAUGAAAAAGGCUUGAAAACUUUGAGUUUUAACGAUAAUGAUAAAAUAAAGGAUAAAGUGAAUAUUACUAGGAUUGACUUCUUGGUGUAAAUGUGGUUUUUCGUUAAAGUGAACAGUAUUGGGAGAUUUUCAUUAGAGUUCCCUUAAUAUUAAUGGUCCAAAUCUGUAAUCCUUAUCUUAGAUUGCUAAAAUGAAACUCAAAAUGAACAAUGCUAAGUAUACAUGUGUAUGCUAUCUUCGCUUGCGAAACUCAAGCAGUUUGCAAAAGCUGAGAAACUCUAUACUGAAUAGGACUUUGUUUCGGAGACUCUAGGGUUUCAAAUAUACUUCUUGCAGCGUACAUCAAAGAAGACCAAACGAAAGGACUGAAACCUUUCAUAGUCGGAUGGAGCAAAAUAUACUUCUUCUGUAUUUUCCCUGUGAAACCAACUUCAAAACUGAUUGUACAAAUUAAAAAAUUUCAAACAUUCAAUUACCCGGAAACCAAAAAUGAAAAUUUUAUUAAAUUAAAUUAAAAUAAAUCAUUGGCAAAAAGAACAUAAAAAUGAAAAUUUCUACUAAAUUAAUUAAAAUAAACUAAUACGCAAGAGGAACAAAGGCAACCUUUUGAAUUAAUCUAAAGAGAUGCAAACUAAAAAUACCGGUCUUGCCAUCAAACAGUGAAUCUAAGAGAGAUAAUUUAGAAAGAAAAUAGGCUUCGUAGGCAAAAUACUGGAAUACGAUGUUGAACAAAAUGACCAAGAUCACCAAACAUCCUACAUCCUUCAUCGACUUCUUCCAUAUUGGGACCAGCACCGCUGCCACCAGCAGGAGGAACAUCUUCAUCCAUGGCGCCACCGACAUCAGGU